rnacentral:lncRNA from 1 species
UCCAUAAUUAACCAACUUAUAAGAUUAGGCAAACGCUUAAAUUCAAAAUCUUAUAGUUGAAUUAAGAAGUCUUACCCAUCAGCAAUAUUUCUCAAAUUCCAUCCAGAUAAAUUUGCUGCUUCAGUAAGUGCAGCUUUCCACUUUUCCAUUCUUUCAGCUCCAACCAAUCGUUCCUUGUGUUUUCCAAAGCUUCGUCAAAGGAUCCAGUUUGCCUUCGCACUUGAGAAGGAUCAACAUCAUAGAAAAUAGGCAAAACUACCUGAUUUUAACCUCUCUUUGCAAUCGAGAAUUUUGACAAGUUCAUCAAGACACCAACUAGACGAAGCAUAAUUUUUGGAGAAAACAACAAUGGCAAUUCUAGAUUGUUCAAUUGCUUUGUCAAGUUUGUUUGAAAUGACGUCUCCCUUUCUCAAUUCCUCAUCAUCUAUGAAAGUAUUAACUCCGACUUGACACAAUCGAAAAUAAAAAUGACCUGUGAAGUUUUUGCGAGUAUCUUCACCUCUAAAACUCAGAAACACAUCAUAAGAGAAGUUGGAAGAAGAAGAUGAUUCUCCUUGAGUAUUCAUAUUUGAUGACAAUAUAUGGAAUAAUUAGGCGAUUUUUAGUUGAAUGAAAGAAAGAUGAGUGAAGCAGCUACAGGUAAUAAUUUGUUCCUGGAAACCCAAUUUUGGGUCAACUCAUUUACAAUCCCUAAAAAAGUUAAUCCCUAGAUAGUUCACGUGUCUAUAUUUUAAAAGUAGAUAUAUUGACAUAAAUUUAGAUGGUAAAAAGUACUCCUUUUCUCUUUAAUUAUUUCUUCAUUUUUAAUUUGAUAGACCUAUUAAGAAAACUGUAACUUGCAUCUAGUUAAAAAGAAUGUUGAAAUAUUGAGUUUUAUGAAUUUGAUUUUAUUUUACUUUCUACAAAAGUUGUGUGAUCAUUUGGUAAUGGCCAUUACUAUUGCUCAAAGUUUUUAAACAUGAAAUAUAACUAAUACGAUAAUAAUUUUAAUAUAGCUUACUAAAAUAUUCAAGAUAAUAAAUGGAGAUGAUUAAAGUUUUUGGUCAAAAUCAUCCUCAAACUAUAGUCUAGAUUUUGGAUACAUCCUUGCAUUAUUAUACUGAACGAAAAACAUCAUUCAUCUAUCUAAAAAGUUUCAAUAGUCAUCCUUCUGUUAAUUUUUGUCAAAAACUACCGUCAAAACAUGUGUCAAGCAUGUGGCUUUUCCUCUAAAUCUCCUAAUUUUAAUCGUCUUCUGCACUAUAUUUUGAGCUAUUGUACACUCCCUCCGAUCAUGUCUCCUCGAGAAGUACUUGUUAAAUUAUUCUAUUGUAUCUUAUAUUAACUUUAAUCAAGUAAAUUAUUACAAAGUAAGAUAUCAACUUAGAACAUGUUUUAACUGUAACUGUUAGAGGUCGUUUGGUAGAGUGUAUUAGGAAAAAUAACGCAUGCAUUAGCAUUGUGUAUUACUAGUACCUUGUUUGGUACUCUUUUCCAACCUAUGUAUAACUAAUGCUUGCAUUAGUUAUACACUCUGAUCUAUUGUGUAUUAAGGUGUGUAUUGCUAAUACCAUGGAUUUCUAGGUAUUAGCAAUGCAAUGGUUUUAAUGCAUGCAUUAGAUUAACUAAUGACAAAACUACCCUCUAAGCCUAAUAAUAAUAAUAAUAAUAAUUAUAAUAAUAAUAAUAAUUAUAAUAAUAAUAAUAAUUAUAAUAAUAAUAAUAAUUAUAAUAAUAAUAAUAAUUAUAAUAAUAAUAAUAAUUAUAAUAAUAAUAAUAAUUAUAAUAAUAAUAAUAAUUAUAAUAAUAAUAAUAAUUAUAAUAAUAAUAAUAAUUAUAAUAAUAAUAAUAAUUAUAAUAAUAAUAAUAAUUAUAAUAAUAAUAAUAAUUAUAAUAAUAAUAAUAAUUAUAAUAAUAAUAAUAAUUAUAAUAAUAAUAAUAAUUAUAAUAAUAAUAAUAAUUAUAAUAAUAAUAAUAAUUAUAAUAAUAAUAAUAAUUAUAAUAAUAAUAAUAAUUAUAAUAAUAAUAAUAAUUAUAAUAAUAAUAAUAAUUAUAAUAAUAAUAAUAAUUAUAAUAAUAAUAAUAAUUAUAAUAAUAAUAAUAAUUAUAAUAAUAAUAAUAAUUAUAAUAAUAAUAAUAAUUAUAAUAAUAAUAAUAAUUAUAAUAAUAAUAAUAAUUAUAAGUUGAAGAUAAACUAACAGAAGGAUGAGUAUGCAAUUUUUGGGUAAGAUAGAGGGAUGUUUCUUAUCCAUGAUUAUAUUAGAAUGAUGUACUUUAGAUUUGUGCCAUAGUUGAGAGAUGAUUUCAGUUAAAAAUUUAAAAUACUUUAAUUAAAAUUAAUACGAUUUCUUACCUACUUCCUAAUUGGGAACUUUGUAUUUAUGAUAAAGAAGUAUAAAAAAAUUAUCCCGAACCCAACCAAUAAAUGUUUUUUUAUAAAAUUUAGAACCUAUAGUUUUUUAAUCUUCCAGGGUCCCAUUUUUCUAUGGAUUGAAUCAUCAUAAUAUUUUAUGACAAAAUACUGUAAAAUGGUGUAUGAUUGUAUGGCAUAUAUACCAUUUGUAUAUUCCCCAAAAUCAAUGAUAACCAUUUGUCUCUAACUUUAAUUUUGAAUUGUACUAAUUGAAUAUAUUAAUUGUACAAUACACAUUUAUUUAGUUCAAAGAUUUCCUCUUUGUACUUUAAGCUUCGGAAUGUAUUGUUUUCCUCAUUUUAUGAAGUGUUAUUAGAAAAAAAAAAAAAAAAAGCAUAAUACAUAAACAUGUGAUAUUUAAAUUUGGUCUUAGUUAAAUUAUCCAAUUUAUAAAAUGAUCAUUUAGACUCUUCCAAAAAUUAUUUGUUACGUUAAUGUAGGAUGUCCAUGAGAUACAUUGAGGCCAAGUUGGAGUGUUUAGUUGUUAGUUGAUAGCAAGUUAAAAUAUCUAGACUUGCACUUUCAAAGUUAGAGACUGAUUUUAUGUUGUUUUUUAUUUGUGUGUCUAAUUAUGAUGUUUUAUUCAUAUGGUUUUGAUUUGUGAAUGAAUUUUGAUUUUGCUCAUGUUAUUGUUGAUGGAUUCAUUUUCAGUCACUACUUAAUUAGUUACUAGAUGUGGAUUAAGAUUUUGAGUUUGUAAAUUCUAGAUCACAAUCGAUCUUUUUUGAAGUUUGUUGGAAUGUCAUAACAUAAAUACAUGAUUUGAAUCAAAGUUAUUGAGUUUGAUCAAACCCGUAGAUCCUAUACACGGUGGAUGAGAGAAUUAGAAAUAAUUGGACAAAAUUCAUUUAGGAGUCAUUUGCAAAUGAGAUUGUAUUUGGAUGAGAAUUUUGAAUAUAUUACAUGUUGAUAGUAGUGUCUGAGGUGUUAUAUACAAAUACUUUUAGAACAAACUUUUUUCUUACAUAACGAACACAAAAAGCAAGUAAGAAACUGUAACAUCCGGUAAUUUGAAAUAACUAUGAAGAAGCUUGAAAUUGGAAAUAGUCAUUUUUGGAAAGAAUUCAAAAAUCUGGAAAUUUAGCUAAGUAUGGAAAAAGUGAGUUUUUGGUCAACUUCGAACAGUCAUAACUCCUAGCUCAGGAUGAGUUAGGUGUAUUUCCAGUUAUGUUUGCGAAUCCCUUGGAAUGAUCUUUCCAACGCCGCUGAGUUUGCUCGAUUCCGAGUUCGUAUGAGUGAGUUAUGCCCUUUGGAAGUUGGGCUGUUGGCAUAGGGAAGUUCAUCCGAAUUAGUAAGGGUAUUUUGGUCUUUUCCCUAACCAUUUCUUUUGGUUAUAUUAAGGGUCUAGGAUGAUAAAAAAAUCAGUUUUCCCUUUUAAAAGUGAGAGUUAGGGUUCUUGAGAGAAAAGGAGAGAAGAGGAGAAAGAGAAGAAGAAGCAAAGUUCGUCAAGAUCGUCGUGGUUUUCGUCGGGGGUGAUCCCUAUUAAGGUAUGUGAGAUCAUAGUGUUGGGUUGGUUCAUUCCCCCACACGCCAAACUCGUUUUAAUUUCCGAGAAAAGAUUGGUUGUGUUUGUUGAAGAUUUGGUUAUGUUUGUUGAAGUUUGUGCCUGGUUGUGUUUGUUGAAGUUUCUUGUUGGUUUGGUACAUGUUUCCGGUUGUGUUUUCGAGUUGAAUCUAUUGUAUGUUGAGGGGUUUUAGGAUUCUAAGUGUUUGGGGCUGGAACCUUUGAAGUUAAGGUUGUUUAGAGUUGGAAAAACAAGGGAGAAAAGUCGAGUUUUUUGGGGAAAGGGCUGGCGCGUUGAGCCAGCCAGCACGCCUAAAAAGGGAUUUUGAACUUCCACCCUUGGGGCGGCGCGCCAUGCAGAGCGCCCCACCAGCCCUUCUGAACUUUGAGGGCUGGCGCCCCGCGCCUCUCAGAGCGCCAAGGACGCCAAGUCUUCCCAUUCAUUCCCCACUUUUUCAUACAUGUUCCUUAGCAAUGUACCUAUGUUUUAUAGUUGUUUUCAACACUCCAAGGUACGUCUAAACAUCAAGAACUCAUCCAUAAACAUGAGAUCUUUACCCUUGAAUUCAUAAUCCGAUUCGAGGAAAGUUCGGACCAAAGUCAAGUGAAGUUAGAGUCAAGCUUAGAAGUUAAGAAGUAAGUCGAAGCAAGUCUUUAAAGUUUUUCAAGAGUCUUUAUUGAACGUUUUAACUUCAUUUUAAGACUCAAGUUUCAAGGUGAGUAAAGAGUAUAGAGUUUCAAGUUAAGUAAAGAGUAUAGAGUUUCAAGUUGAGUAAAGAUUAUAGAGUUGAGUUCAUUUCUCAAGAGUUAUUAGGGAACUAAGUAUUCCCAAAGAAGUUUAGAAAUGUUUUCACAUUUGAGUAAGAAAGGAACAAUGAUUUCCAAAAGAGCCUUUGGGCUAGUUUUCAAGAAAAAGAAACAUCGAUUCCAAGUGAGCCUUUGGGCUAGAUUUUGAGCAAUUAUCUCAAACUAAAGAAAGAUGUGUUUAAAACACUUAUGAGCUAAAGUAUAUUUUGGGAGUAGUCUUGAGCACUGAAUUGGGGACACGAGUUCAUAUUAACUCAACUCUCCAUAAGAACCAUGUAGCCAACAUGGGAGUUAACGGGUCAUACUUUUUAGAUGAACCCGUAAAGUUAAGCUAGUGGAUCCACUUAGUAAAGUUAGCUUGUUAACGAGUCAUACUUUUUAAAUAAUCACGUAAGAUUAAGCUAGUGGAUCCACUAAGUUAAGUAAGGUCCUAUAUCACGGCAAGGUAUAGGAUGUUCCUUGGCCAACGUGAGGUAAAACGUUGUAUCAUCACUAGGGCUCAUAGUGGUGGUUGUCGGUUAAAGAAUCUCCUACUAAAGUUAUAUUACUUUUAUAUAAGUAAAGUUGAGUUUGUUAUUGUUUUAUCCUUAACGAACUAAGUGGUUUACACUGUUUUUACAAGCUUUAUAUAUUGCAUGUGUCUUAUUGCUUUAUAUUGAGUUCGGUUGUUCAUGAGUCGAACAGAGCUAAGGUAAGAGUUCCUUUGUAUUCCUUUCAAGCUUAAGUUGUUGUUAGCUUCCCAGCUCGCAUACUCGUACAUUCAAUAUACUGAUGCCAGUUUGACUGCAUCUUAUUAUGAUGCAGACGCAGGUACCCAGGAUCAGCAUCCAGCACGCCGUUGAUCCAGCUGAGCACUCCAGAGUCAGUGGUGAGCCUCUUUACUUUCCGGAGGACUCUAUUAUUUCGUUUUCCUAGUUUUGUUUUAUUAGGAUGUUGCGGGGUCUGUCCCAACAUCCAUCUCAGUGUUAUAGAAGCUGCAUAGACAGUCAGUCAGUUAGUAUUGAGUCUCUCAUCUAUGUAUAUAUGUAAAUAUUCUAUUUUGAGACACGAGUUGCCUUUUGGCCAGAUUUUAUCAGUUAGGUUGUUUUAUGACCUUUCAUUGCAUUGAGUUAUUCUGUCGAGUUAAGUUUCCACUGAGUUAAGAAAGUUGGGCCAAGGGUUUGCUUGGGGCCAGCAAUGGUCUUCAAGUGCCAGCCACGUCCAGGGUGUAGACUUGGGGCGUGACAAUCUCUUUUAAGAAAAAGAUGAGUUUUGCGAAAGAGUUUCUAAAACAUGAUUAGUAUGACAAUCGAGUAUGUUAUCAAUGUUUAAACAGUAUGGUCUCUAGAUAUACCAUCAAUGUUUAUGAAGUAUGACUUCUCGAGUCAUCAAUGAUCAUAUUAAAAUAUGGUUUUGAUAUGUUUCUUUUUUUUUAAAACAGUUUUCAAGAGCAAUUACCUCUUUUAAGAGGGUAGUUUUGAGUAAUUUUCUCAAACUAAAUAAAGAAGUUUGUUUUAAAGCUUAUGAGCUAAAGUAUAUUUUUGGGAGUAGUCUUGAGCACCGAAGUGGGUAUACGAGUUCAUAUUAACUCAACUCUCCAUAAGAACCAUGUGGCCAACAUGAGAUUUAACGGGUCAUACUUUUUAAAUGAUCACGUAAGUUAAGCUAGUGGAUCCACUAAGUUAAAGUUAAAGUAAGGUCCUAUAUCACGGCAAGGUAUAGGAUGGUCCUUGGGCAACGUGAGGUAAAACGUUGUAUCAUCACUAGGGCUCAUAGUGGUGGUGAUCGGUUAGAGAAACUCCCAUAGUAGAAAUGGUUCCUCGAGGGGUUCUGCUUAGUAUGGAUGGGGGUAUGGGACUUCACUCAUACAUUGCACAAGUAGACCUUGAAAGGAAGCAUGGUAUUUUAUGAUAUUAUAANNNNNNNNNNNNNNNNNNNNNNNNNNNNNNNNNNNNNNNNNNNNNNNNNNNNNNNNNNNNNNNNNNNNAUGGGGGUAUGGGACUUCAUUCAUGCAUUGCACAAGUAGACUUUGAGAGGGAGCGUGAUAUUUUUAUGAUAUUAUAAAUGUGAUUUUUGACGUCAUGUUUUAAUAGUUUUACAAGCUUUAUAUAUUGCAUGUGCGUUAUUGCUUUAUAUUGAGUUUGGUUAUUCAUGAGUGUCUGUCCCAACAUCCAUCUCAGUAUGUUAGUGGCUUCAUAGACAGUCAGUCAGUUAGUAUUGAGUCUCUCAUCUAUGCAUAUAUAAAUAUUCUAUUUUGAGACGAGUUGCCUAUUGGCCAGAUUUUAUCAGUUGGGUUGCUUUAUGACCUUUCUUUGCAUUGAGUUAUUCUGUUGAGUUAGGUUUCCGCUGAGUUAAGAAAGUCAGGCCAAGGGUUCACUUGGGGUCAGCAAUGGUCUUCGAAUGUCGGUCCCGCCCAGGGUGUAGGCUCGGGGCGUGACAGAAACCUACUUAUUCUCCGAAAAAGCAUUUUUCAAAAAGACAUUUUAGAGGCAUUGUUAUCAUUUGGUAGAUCCAGGUUCAUGGCCUAUUUCUAUGGAACACAUUCUCCAUAGUACCGAACACAGUCUCAGAACUUUGUUUGUUGAUAUCCACUGUUAUGGACCUCACUUGUGGAAUUUCAUUGGAUGUGUUGUUGAUGUUUGAGUUGAUAUGCCGUGCUGAAAAUCUUUGUGGGUAGGAGGGAGUAUAAGAAUGAUCCACAACUCCCGGCAACGAUGUAAUAAGAAAUUUGUUUGUUAUGUAUAAAAGAAUUAUCCCGAACCUGGCCUUUUUUCAUAAAAUUCAGAACCUAUAAUUUUUUAAUCUUCCCGGGGUCCCCUUUUUCUAUAGAUUGAAUUAUCAUAAUAUUUUAUGACAAAAUAUUGUAAAGGUGUAUGAAAUGGUAUAUUGCUCAAAAUCAUGGUAAUACCAUUUAUUUAUAACUUUAAAAUUUUGAAUUGUACUAAUUGAAUAUAUUAAUUUCACAAUGUACUUUUAUUUAGUUCAAAGUUUUCCUCGUUGUACUUUAAGCUUUGGAGUGUAAUGUUUUUCCGCAUUUUAUGAGGUGCUAAGAUUAGAAAAAGGCAUAAUACAUGAAUAGACGAUAUUCAAAUUUGGUCUUAAUUAAAUUCUCCAAUUUAUAAAUUGAUCACUUAGACUCUUCCAAUAAUUAUUUAUUACAUCAAUGUAGGGUGUUCACGAAAUACGAGAUACAGUGAAGCCAAAUUAAAAUAUUUAGAUGUACACUUCCACAAGAAGGUUAACCAAAAUGAAAGGGAAGUUUCCCAACAUAUUUUUUCUUAGAUAUGUCUCAUUCACUUUUACCUUUACUUUUACUUUUACGGUUACUCUUUUUUUUGUGUGUUAUAUUUGAAUUUGACAUACCACUAAAAAUAUUAUUGGGACUUCUUUUAUAUUUGUCCUUUCUUAUUGAGUAUGCUAAAGUAUACACUUAAAUUUGUAUAAAAUUAAAUAAAUAGACAUGGCGUCUUACAUGAAAAUUUGUGUCCUAUAUGUAUUACGUCACAUAAAAUGAGUAUGUCUACUUGUUCAAUUUUAUACAAGUUUAAGUGUUUAUUUGUACACAUCUAAAGUUGGAGGACAUAGAUGUCAGCAAAAACCAAGUUAAAUGACAUAUAUUUUUUUUUAUAUCUUUAGAAAUAUUCAAAAGAAUAAUAGUGAAAAGUAAAUUUUGAUUUUUGUCUUUAAAUUUAAGCGGUACAAACUUCUUUUCUUAUACAACUAGGAUAACAGUUCUCUCUUGAUAUGUCACCUCUUUCACAUUAAUUGUCGUCCUAACUCUUUGUUUAAACUUCUUUGUUGGCAUCUCAAAGUCAAUCAUUCUUUGAAUCUCUUUCACAUUUUUAAGUGAAUUGAAAUAAAUGGACAAAAUUCAUUUAGGAGUCAUUUGCAAAUCAGAUUGUAGUUGGAUGAGAAUGUUGAAUAUUACAGAUUGAUAGUAGUGUCUAAGGUGACUGUUAUAUACAAAUACUUUAAGAACAAACUUUUUUCUUACAUAACGAACGCAAGAAAAUAAGUAAGAAAUCUACUUAUUCUCCGGAAAAACAUUUUCCAAAAAGACAUUUUAGAGGCAUUGUUAUCAUUUGGUAGAUCCAGGUCCAUUGCCGAUUUCUAUGGAACACAUUCUCCAUGGUUCCGAACACACUCUCAGAACUUUGCUCGUUGAUAUCCACUGUUACGGACCUCACUUGUGGAAUUUCAUUGGAUGUGUUGUUGUUGUUUGAGUUGAUAUGCCAUGCUGAAAGUCUUUGUUGUUGUUUGAGUUGAUAUGCCAUGCUGAACGCUUUAUAUGGGCAACAGUAACAGCGAAGUGUUCAAGCUCAUGUGCAUCGCAAAGGCGGCAAACAAACCAGAGAACCAUUCCUAAGAACUUGUUAUUAUGUACUGUGGGCAUAGUCAAACAAAUAAGAUAAAAGAAUUUACUGACUUUAUUUCCUUGUAGAACAUCUCGGACUUAUUGAGGUUUGAACAAUCUACUCAAUUUUCUAGAGUCUCGAGGUGAUUCCAUACGAACAAUUUCUCUUCCCAUAUCUCGCACUAGAUCAUGCAUCACCAAAUAACGCCAAUCCCUUUGGAGAAAGUUCCUUUGGACUAAGGUUGAAAUUGCACUUUCAGAAUAAAAACCACACGCGUUUAAUGUUUUGAUAACUUCAUCCUCAAAAAAUUCAUGGAAGGCACACGCAAUAUCAAGGAAAACACUUUGAGUAUCACAAUCAAGUCCGUCAAAGCUUAUCUUGAGGAUCUUUUGAAUAUCACAAUGAGGAAUUGCUCUUAGUUUUUUGAACUCGUAUCUCCAUUCUUUAACGGAUCUCCCUCACAAUCAAGUCCGUCAAAGCUUAUCUUGAGGAUCUUUUGAAUAUCACAAUGAGGAAUUGCUCUUAGUUUUUUGAACUCGUAUCUCCAUUCUUCUACGGAUCUCCCUUGUAAAUGUGACCCCAAUGUCACAAGAGCUAACGGUAGCCCACCUGAAUAUUUGAUUAUGCUUUGUGCAACCUCAACAUAUUCUUGUGGCGGAGAAGGACUACUAAAAGCAUGACAAGAAAAAAGUUGUUGAGCUUCAUCUUGAUUUAAAUGUUUUGCCUUGUAUCUCUCGUUUUCUCUAAUCCGAGAUAGCAAAUGCUUGUCUCGGGUUGUAAUAAUUAUUAAACUACCAGAACCAAACCAACUUCUUUCUCUUGUUAAGGAUUCUAAUUGGCUCAUAUAAUCCACGUCAUCAAGAAUAAUUAGAACCUUCUUUGACCCAAGUCUUGCUUUGAUUAGAUUGAUGCCUUCAGCAACACUGGUAACUUUGACGUCCUUAGUUUUGAGAAUUUGAUUUAGUAGUUUUUCUUGUAACUUGACUAAACCAAAUGCUUCAGCUUCUGAUCUAACAUCUGAAAGGAAGCAACUAAUAUCAAAGUGUCGAAAUAUUUGAUUGUAGAUAGCUUUAGCCAGAGUUGUUUUUCCUAUUCCACCUACGCCAUAUAUACCAACCAUGCGAACUUCAUCUACACAUCCUUUUUGGAGUAACAACUCUAUAUCUUCGACACGAGAAUCUACUCCAACAGGAUGCCAAGCAAUAUCUAGAGGUGUCUGGUUUACCUCUAGUAGAACUUGUUUUACAAUACUUUCAAUAAAUUUUGAUUCAUGUCUGCAUAUUAGCAAAAACAAAAGUUAGAAUAAAAAAAACAACUUUGAUGUGUGGAAAAAAAAUAAUUGAUAACCAACUUAUGACUUUUGACUGAUAAGUCAGUUUGACCAGUUUAUAAAUAUUACCCGUCAACAACAUUUCGCAAAUCCCAUCCAGAUAAAUUUGCGCUAAUUCAGUAAGUGAAUCCGUCCAUUUUUUCAUUCUCUCAACCUCGAAUGAUCGCUCCUUAAGCAUAGCUAAAACUUCACCAAAGUAUCCGGUUUGCUUGCGUACAUGAGAAGGAUGAACAUCAUAGAAAAUAGGCAAAACUAUUUUCUUUAACUUGUCUUUGCAUUCGAGAAUUUUAACAAGUUCAUCAAGACACCAACUAGACGAAGCAUAAUUUUUCGAGAAAACAACAAUGGAAACUCUAGACUCUUCAAUUGCUUUCUCAAGUUCUUUUGAAAUCACCUUGCCUUUUCUUAAUUCCUCAUCAUCUAUGAAGGUAUUAAUUCCAACUUGACAUAAUCUGGAAUAAAGAUGACCUGUGAAGGUUUUUCGAGUAUCUUCACCUCUGAAACUCAGAAACACGUCAUAAGAGAAGUUGGAAGAAGUAGUUGAUGAUUCCCCUACAACAAAUUGAGUAUUCAUAUUUGAUGACUAAUAUAUGGAAGAAUGAGUAGCUAUCUAUAUAAUAUACCAUGCACAUGCUAUGGUUUUUUCUUGGUAACUUAACUAAUGCUAUAUAUUCUUUAAUUUAUUUUGUACAAUUAUUCUUCAUUAAAUUUUGUUAAUUGGGACUUUUUUUUUAAUGAUUCUUUACCUUUUGUCUCAUCUUUAAUUUGUUAAAGACUUGAAUGAUAAAAAGUAAGAUUCUUUCUUCCUUGAAAACUCAAAAGUUCAUCUCUCCACAUAAUUAUGAUGAUGUUAAGCUUGAUGUCAUAAUCUUUUAAUAAUGGAAUUGAAAACAUCGAUUUGUUCUCAAUUCACAAGUUGGAUUAAACUUUUUUUUCUUUUUUACCUAAUCAAGUAGUAUCGCAUAAAUUAUAACGAUAAUUUUUUAAAAGAAAUUAAAACACUUUGUAUUAAUAGUAAAAACUAGGAAACUUUGUCGUAAUAAAACUAACUACUAGUCUAUUGCAACUAUUAAACAAGUAAACAACUAAUAAAACUAAUUGGAUCACUCUUACUGAACCAUUGGUCUUAAUCCUAUACCUAUCAUACUGAUAUAGAGGUGAAUUCAGAACUUAAAAUUUAUGAAUUCUUAUAAAAAAUAAAUAAAUUUAUGAAUGAUAAUAAUUGAGUUCAUAAUCAAAUUAUAUUAAUUACUUAAUGAUUUUCUUAGUACAUAUAAAUAAUAUGAAUAAAAUCUAUUGAGUUCACACUAACCUCUCUAUAAUAAUCAAAUCAGUAAUUUUGAUCCAAAUUGAACUUUGUAUUUAUGAUAAUAAAUUUGUUUGUUAUGUGUAAAAAUAAUAUCCGGAACCCGAUCCGACCAGUAAAUGCUUUUUAUAAAAUUGAGAACCUAUAAAUAUAAAAUCGAAAUGCCAGUAGCAGUCAUAGUAUUUGGAACAAAGAAAAGCAAGGGAAUAACAAACCAUAUCUUCUGCUCCAACUUCACUUUCUUUAUAGUAUUUUUGAAAGGAAAAAAGGGAAUAGAAUUAAAUAUUAUCAGAAUGCCAACCAAAUAUUGAUUUUGUGCUCUAUCCUUACUGUGGGAAAAAAAAGAAAAUGUAAUUUAUUUGUGCAGUUUUUUAAUCUUCCAGGCGUCCCAUUUUUCUAUGGAUUGAAUUAUCAUAAUAUUUUAUGACAAAAUACUGUAAAAUGGUGUAUGACUGUAUGGGAAAUAUAAUAUUUGUAUAUUCCUCAAAAUCAUGAUAAUACCAUUUGUUUCUAACUUUUUAAUUGUACUAAUUGAAUAGAUUAAUUGUACAAUAUACUUUUGUUUAGUUCAAAGUUUUCCUCUUUGUACUUUAAGCUUGUGUGUCACGUCAGUAUAGGGUGUCCACGAGACACAUUAAGGGUGAGUUGGAGUGUUUAGCUGUUAGUUGAGAUGUCUAUAUGUACACUUUUAAUUAGUUACGCUUGCGAAAUUUUAAUUGGAUGACAAAACUAGGAUCGAAGUUUCGAGUGGUUAGCAUCUGACGGAUGAAAAAAAAAUCUAAAUGAAAAAUACUUUUUAGCGAAUCAGCUUGUAGUUGGAUGAGAAUUUUGAAUAUUACAGAUUGAUAGUAGUGUCUUAGGUGUUAUAUACAAAUACUUUAUGAACAAACGUUUUUCUUACAUAACGAUCACAAGAAAAUAAGUAAGAAACCUACUUAUUCUCCGGAGAAACAUUUUCCAAAAAGACAUUUUAGAGGCAUUGUUAUCAUUUGGUAGAUCCAGGUCCAUGGCCUACUUCUAUGGAACACAUUUUCCAUGGUACAUAACACAUUCUCAGAACUUUGCUCGUUGAUAUCCACUAAUACGGACCUCACUUGUGGGAUUUCACUGGAUGUGUUGUUGUUGUUUGAGUUGAUAUACCAUGCUGAAAGUCUUUGUGGGUAGGAGGGAGUAUAAGAAUGAUCCACAACUGCCGGGAAAGAAGUAACAUUACCAUGUUGAUCUACAUAUAAUAGACGUACUCCUAUCUUCUUUACAACGGCUCCGCCAGUGCGAUCCUCUACUGUUAUCUGUUCCCCGCCUUUGAUCUUCAGGCCAUUAAAAGGUCUAUUGUUUGAGUAAGAGAAGUAAUAUACACGUGAUAUUUCUCCCUGACUGUCAGGUAUAUUAAAAUGCGAACUCCACCAAAAAGUUGAAGACUCUACAUGGGCAACAGUAACAAUGAAGCUUUGAAGAUAGGAGGAUACAUUGCCAAAGUGGCAAACAAACCAGAGAACCAUUCCCAAGAACUUAUUAUUAUGUACUGUGGGCAUAGUCAAACAGAUAGAUGGAGCUGUUACUUUAUUGCUGCACCAAUCUGGAAUCUCAUUGCUUUCGAGAUUAAUUUGUAAUGACAUCUUCAUCAGACAAAUUAAGACACAAUUAGAUCAUUAAUUAUUAAUGUGAUACGAGGGAGAGAUCAGAGAGGGAGAGGGACUAACCUUAUACCGUUGAUGUUUUCUAGACGGAAUUGAUAGAGCAUGGGCACUAAAGAAGCCUUCAUUGAAUGGAUUCUGCAGACGAGUACAAUUAAUCAUGUCCACCUUCUCUAUUGAAGGGAGGUAGUCCGACCCUGUAAUCUUGACCAGUUUUUGGCAAUUCCUAAGUUCAACAAUUGCAAGGUGCUCUAAAUUUGAUAUUGACGGGAGUGUUUGAAGGUUCUCACAAUCAUUCAAAUAUAAGGACGUCAACAAUGGUAACUUGGAAAAAUCAAAGGGUAGAUAGAGGAAACUGUUGCCGCUCAAAUCUAAAAAAUAUAAGUUGGAUAAACUCCCAAUAUCCCUAGGAACAUCAGCCUCCGAGAAACCACAAUAUGAAAGGCGUAGAUUCAAAAUAAAUUUUGACAAGGACACUAUGGGGCGUACUCUUCUUUGAGAAAAACUCCUUUUGGCCUUUAAGUAUUGGCCUCCCAUUUCCAAUUCUACAAGAUUUCGUAGCAUUUCAACAGAUCCAGGCAAUUGUUUUAUACCUGUUUCACGUGCAUUAAGAUAUCUUAGGCUUUGCAUAGCUCCAAUGUUAACUGGCAGUGUUUGUAAAGACGAGCAGUCAUUAAUGUACAAGGUUUUAAGGGAUUUUAGCUGGCAUAUGCUGCUCGGAAGAUCCGUAAUAUUUUUUGCAACCAUUCAAUUGAAGAUCAGUUAGUCUGUCCAAAUUUCCUAUUGAUGGAUGGAUCUCCUUCAGACUUGAAGCAAUUCUCAAGCAACAAAGUCUCGAGACUUCGUGAACCGUUGAAGUUUGGAGUUUUUCUGAGGCGCUUGCAAUCAGAGAGAUCCAGCAUUUUCAAAUUUCUACAAUACUAAAAGUAAACAAAAUAUUGUUUCAAUUAAGAUUUUCUUUCCCUUAAACAUUACACAUAAAUUUGCAAAAUUGAGUAACGAACCUGCAAAUUCAAACCAAAUUCUAGGAUAUUGCUCCCUUUCAUAUUCAGAAAUACAAGUUUCUCAGAUGGAAAAUUUGAUGGUACACAUUUUAAAGGACAUCCUUUCCAAGACAGCCAUCUGAGCUCCUUGGACAAUAGCUCAAAAUCUCCACUAAUAUGUAAAGUCGUCGAUUUUUAAGCACCCUAAGAUUUAUCAUUUUCUGAAAUGCUUUUGGUGUUCAGCUUCACACCCUUUAAUGCCUGUCGUUCUACCACCAAUAUUUCUACAUUUUUAGAACCCUACAGUUUAGUAAAAAGAAAAGUACUAUAAGACCAUGUUAAGUAUGAUAAAUUAAGAAAGAGAAAUGCUUUAUACAAAUUGAAGGUCAAACAAAUAGAAUAAAUUAUGUACCAAUAAAAAAAAAAUUACACAUUAUAUCCAACUAAAGGAUGUUUAUUUGAUAAUUUUGUCUUUGAUAGUUUGUUUAGACUUCAGUAAAUGUUCAUUUCAAGUACAGAAUGGUUCAAACAUCUAAAGAUACUUACUAACGGGAGAAGAUUUAAGCACAAAUGCAUAAAUUAUAAGCAAAUGUAUAUCAAUAUGAAAAAAGAAGAAGAAGAAGUAUAACCAAGAUAAAGAUAAUGAAAUUUACUGACUUUAUUUCCUUGUAGGACAUCAAGGACUUCUUGAGGGUUGACCAAUCUACUCCGUUUUCCACUGUCUCGAGGUGAUUCCAUGCGAACGAUUUCUCUUCCCACAUCCUGCACUAGAUCAUGCAUCACCAAACGACGCCGAUCCCUUUGGAGCAGGUGUCUUUUGACUAGAGUUACAAUUGCACUUUCACAAUACAAACCACAGGCGUUUAAUGUUUUGGUAACUUCAUCCUCAUCACAUCCAUGGAAGGCGCACGCAAUAUCAAGGAAAACAUUCUGAGUAUUGUCAUCAAGUCCAUCAAAGCUUAUUUGGAGAAUCUUUUGAAUAUCAAAAUGAGGAAUUGUUCUUAGUUUUUCGAACUCGUAUCUCCAUUCUUCAACGGAUCUCCCUUGUAAAUGUGACCCCAAUGUCACAAGAGCUAAUGGUAGCCCACCUGAAUAUUUAAUUAUGUUUUGGGCCAGCUCAACAUAUUCAUGUGGUGGAGAAAGACUGUUAAAAGCAUGACAAGAAAAAAGUUGUUGUGCUUCGUUGCCAUUUAAAAGUUUGGCCCGGUAUAUCUCAUUUGUUGUAAGACCAUAAAGCAAAUGCUCGUCUCGGGUUGUAAUAAUUAUAACACUACCAGAACCAAACCAAUUUCUUUCUCUUGUUAAGGAUUCUAAUUGGCUUCUAUGAUCCACAUCAUCAAGAACAAUUAGAACCUUUUGGGACCCAAGUCUUGCUUUGAUGAGAUUAACACCUUCAGCAACACUAUCAACUUCAAAUUCCUUAGUUUUGAGGAUUUGAUGAAGUAGUUUCUCUUGAAGCUUGAUUAGACCCAAUUCUUCAGCUUUUGAUCUAACAUCUGAAAGGAAGCAACUACCACCAAACUGUAGAAAUAUUCUAUUGUAGAUGGCUUUUGCUAGAGUUGUUUUUCCAAUUCCACCAACGCCACAUAUACCAACCAUUCGAACUUCAUGCUCACAUCCACUUUGCAUUAACAACAAUAUAUCUUUGAUAGGAGAAUCUAAUCCAAUUGGAUAAUGAGCAACAUCUAGAGGUGUCUGGUUGACUUCUUGCAGAACUUGUUUUAUAAUACUUUCAAUAAAUUUUGAUUCAUGCCUACAGUUUUUUUAGCAAAAACAGUAAAAAACAAAACUUUGAUAUUUGAAAAUAUAUGAUGAACAAAACAAAAUCCAUAGCCAACAGAUAACAGGGAAAUCGAGGGUAGAGAAUGGAGAUUAUCAAUUACUAUUACUCCCUCGUUCCAAUUUAUGUGAUGCAGUCUGAUUUGGCACGGAGAUUAAGAAAUAUAAAAAGAAUUUGCAAUGUUCCAAAACUAACCAACUUAUAAGCUUAGGCAAAUGCUUAAAUUCAAAAUUCUAAAGUUGAAUUAAGAAGUGUUACCCAUCAGCAACAUUUCUCAAAUCCCAUCCAGAUAAAUUUGCUGCUUCAGUAAGUGCAGCUUUCCACUUUUCCAUUCUUUCAGUUCCAAUUGAUCGUUCCUUGUGUUUUGCCAAAGCUUCGCCAAAGGAUCCAGUUUGUCUUCGUACUUGAGAAGGAUCAACAUCAUAGAAAAUAGGCAAAACUAGCUGAUUUAACCUCUCUCUGCAAUCGAGAAUUUUGACAAGUUCAUCAAGACACCAACUAGAGGAAGCAUAAUUUUUGGAGAAAACAACAAUGGCAACCCUAGAUUGUUCAAUUGCUUUCUCAAGUUCAAUUGAAAUGACGUCUCCCUUUCUCAAUUCCUCAUCAUCUAUGAAAGUAUUAACUCCGACUUGACAUAAUCUGAAAUAAAGAUGACCGGUAAAGUUGUUUCUGGUAUCUUCACCUCUGAAACUGAGAAACACAUCAUAAGAGAAGUUGGAAGAAGAAGAUGAUUCUCCUUGAGUAUUCAUAUUUGAUGACAAUAAAUGGAAGAAUUAAGCGAUUUUUAGUUGAAUGAAAGAAAAGAUGAGUGAAGCAGUUACAGGUAAUUGUUUGUUCCUGGAAACUCAAUUUUGGGUCAACUCAUUUACAAUCCCUAAAGAAAGUUAAUCGAAACGAAAGGGAAGUUCCCAGCAUAUUUCUUAGAUAGUUCACGUGUCUAUAUUAAAAGUAGAUAUAUUUACAUAAAUUUAGAUGGCAAAAAGUAAUCUCUUUCUCUUAAUUAAUUACUUCUCCACUUUUGAAUUGACACACCUGAGUAUUAAGAAAACAAUAAGAAGUAGUAGAAAUAAUUAGGGAUGAUAAUGAGAUAGCGUGGAUGAAAGGUAGGGCGGAUUAAAGGUUAUAUGGGGCGGGGGCGGGGAGCUUUUAAGGUUGUAUGGGGUUGGGUGGAUGCAAAUUAAUGUGAGGCGGUGCGAUUUGUGGGUUCAUGUGAUUUUAUACGGAUUCAAAUUUAAUUUUAAUUGUAUAGGUUAUAAGAGUGAUGAAGCUUUCACGGAUAAAAAUACACAUGAUUUGGUAGUUAAACUAUUAGUAUUAGGAUUAGGAUAAAAUAAAGAGAAUAAUCUUGCCCUUUGUCUUGUAUUGUGUUAUAAUUCAUAUAAAAAAAUUUAUCUGAUUUGGAGUCUACUCAAUUUUCAAAAGAAAAAAAAAACUUUAAUUCAUGAUGUGCACUUUAUUUAUGCUUUUAUUUGCAUCUACUUAUUUUGACCCAACGAAAAUGAAUUUUGUUAUUUAUGCUCUGCAUAAAUUGCAUCUAGUUAAAAAGAAUUUUGAAAUAUUGAGUUUUAUGAAUUUGAUUUUAUUUUAUUUUCUACAAAAAUUGUGUGAUCAUUUGGUAAUGGCCAUUACUAUUGCUCAAAGAUUUUAAACAUGAAAUAUAACUAAUACAAUAAUAAUUUUAAUAUAGCUUACUAAAAUAUUCAAGAUAAUAAAUGAAAAUGAUUAGAGUUUUCGAUAAAACUCAUCCUCAAACUAUAGCCUAGAUUUUGGUUACAUCCUUGCAUUAUUAUAUUGAACAAAAAACAUCAUUCAUCUAUCUAAGAAGUUUCAAUAGUCAUCCUUCGGUUAAUUUUGGUAAAAAGUUAACUUGUUAUCGUCAAAAUAUGUGUAAAGCAUGUAGGUUUCCCUCUAAAUCUCCUAACCUAAAUCGUCUUCUCCACUAUAUUUUGAGCUAUUGCACUUUAGAUUUGUGUCAUAGUUGAAGGAUGAUUUCAGUAAAAAAUUUAAAAUAAUUUAAUUAAAAUUAAUACAAUUUCUUACCUACUUCCUAAUUGGGAACUUUGUAUUUAUGAUAAAGAAGUAUAAAAAAGUUAUCCCGAACCCGACCAGUAAAUGCUUUUUUAUAAAAUUUAGAACCUAUAGUUUUUUAAUCUUCCAGGGGUCCCAUUUUUCUAUGGAUUGAAUUAUCAUAAUAUUUUAUGACAAAAUACUGUAAAAUGGUGUAUGAUUGUAUGGCAUAUAUACCAUUUGUAUAUUCCCCAAAAUCAAUGAUAACCAUUUGUCUCUAACUUUAAUUUUGAAUUGUACUAAUUGAAUAUAUUAAUUGUACAAUAUACAUUUAUUUAGUUCAAAGAUUUCCUCUUUGUACUUUAAGCUUUGGAGUGUAUUGUUUUCCGCAUUUUAUGAAGUGUUACUAUUAGAAAAAAAGGCAUAAUACAUAAACAUGUGAUAUUCAAAUUUGGUCUCAGUUAAAUUCUCCAAUUUAUAAAAUGAUCAUUUAGAUUCUUCCAAAAUUAUUUGUUAUGUUAAUGUAGGAUGUCCACGAGAUACAUUGAGGCCAAGUUGGAGUGUUUAGCUGUUAGUUAAUAGCAAGUUAAAAUAUCUAGACGUGCACUUUCAAAGUUAGAGACUGAUUUUAUGUUGUUUUUUAUUUGUGUGUCUAAUUAUGAUGUUUUAUUUAUAUGGUUUGAUUUGUGAAUGAAUUUUGAUUUUGCUCAUGUUAUUGUUGAUGGAUUCAUUUUCAGUCACUACUUAAUUAGUUACUAGAUGUGGAUUAAGAUUUUGAGUUUGUAAGUUCUAGAUCUCAACCGAUCAUUUUUGAAGUUUGUUGGAAUGUCAUAACAUAAAUACAUGAUUUGAAUCAAAGUUAUUGAGUUUGAUCAAACCCGUAGAUCCUAUACACGGUGGAUGAGUGAAGCAGAAAUAAUUGGACAAAAUUCAUUUAGGAGUCAUUUGCAAAUGAGAUUGUAUUUGGAAGAGAAUUUUGAAUAUUACAUAUUGAUAGUAGUGUCUAAGGUGUUAUAUACAAAUACUUUUAGAACAAACUUUUUUCUUACAUAAUGAACACAAGAAAAUAAGUAAGAAAACCUACUUAUUCUCCGGGGAAACAUUUUCCAAAAAGACAUUUUAGAGGCAUUGUUAUCAUUUGGUAGAUCCAGGUCCAUGGCCUAUUUCUAUGGAACACAUUCUUCAUGGUACCGAACACAAUCUCAGAACUUUGUUCGUUGAUAUCCACUGUUACGGACCUCACUUGUGGGAUGUGUUGUUGUUGUUUGAGUUGAUAUGCCCGAAAGUCUUUGUGGGUAGGAGGGAGUAUAAGAAUGAUCCACAACUCCCGGCAAAGAUGUAACAUUACCAUGUUGGUCCAAGUAUAACAGAUGGAUCCCUAUCUUCUUUACUAGUCUCUGUCAGUUUCAUUCUUUACUGUUAUCUGUUCCCCACCUUUGAUGUUCAGGCCUUUAAAAGGUCUAUCAUUUACGGAAGAUAAGUAAUAUACACAUGAUACUUCUCCGUGACUGUUAGGUCUAUCAAAAGGCCAAAUCCACGGAAAACCUGUACUCUUUUUAUGGGCAACAGUAACAGCGAAGUGUUCAAGAUCAUGUACAUCGCAAAGGCGGCAAACAAACCAGAGAACCAUUCCUAAGAACUUGUUAUAAUGUACUGUGGGCAUAGUCAAACAGAUAGAUGGAGCUGUUACUUUAUUGCUGCACCAAUCUGGAAUCUCAUUGCUUUCGAGAUUAAUUUGUAAUGACAGCUUCAUCAGACAAAUUAAGACACAAUUAGAUCAUUAAUUAUUAAUGUGAUACGAGAGAGAUCAGAGAGGGAGAGGGACUAACCUCAUACCGUUGAUGUUCUCUAGACGGAAUUGAUAGAGCAGGGGCACUAAAGAAGCCUUCACUGAAUGGAUUCUGCAGACGAGUACAAUUAAUCAUGUUCAUCUUCUCUAUUGAAGGGAGGUUGUCCAACCCUGCAAUCUUGACCAGUUUUUGGCAAUUCCUAAGUUCAACAAUUUCAAGGUACUCUAAAUUUGAUAUUGACGGGAGUGUUUGAAGGUUCUCACAAUCAUUCAAAUACAAGGACAUCAACAAUUGUAACUUGGAAAAAUCAAAGGGUAGAUAGAGGAAACUGCUGCCGCUCAAAUCUAAAUGAUAUAAGUUGGAUAAACUCCCAAUAUCCCUAGGAACAUCAGCCUCUGAAAAACCACAAUAUGGAAGGCAUAGAAUCGAAAUAAAUUUUGACAAGGAUACUAUAGGGCGUACUCUUGUUUGAGAAAACCUCCUUUUGGUCUCAAAGUAUUGACCUCCCAUUUCCAAUUCUAUAAGAUUUCCUAGCAUUUCAACAGAUCCAGGCAAUUCUUUUAUACCUGUUUCACGUGCAUUAAGAAAUCUUAGGCUUUGCAUAUCUCCAAUGUCAACUGGCAGUGUUUGUAAAGAUGAGCAGUCAUUAAUGUACAAGAUUUCAAGGGAUUUUAGCUGACAUAUGCUGCUCCAAAGAUCAGUAAUCUUUUUGCAACCACUCAAUCGAAGACAAAUUAGUCUGUCCAAAUUUCCUAUGGAUGGAUGGAUCUCCUUCAGACUUGAGCAAUUCUCAAGCCACAAAGUCUCGAGACUUCGUGAACCGUUGAAGUUUGGAGUUUUUCUGAGGCGCUUGCAAUAAGAGAGAUCCAGCAUUUUCAAAUUUCUACAAUACUAAAAGUAAACAAAACAUAGUUUCAAUUAAGAUUUUCUUUCUCUUAAACAUUACACAUAAAAUUGCAGAAUUGAGUAACGAACCUGCAAAUUCAAACCAAAUUCUUGGAUAUUGCUCCCUUUCAUAUUCAGAAAUACAAGUUUCUCAGAUGGAAAAUUUGAUGGUACACAUUUUAACGGACAUCCUUUCCAAGACAACCAUCUGAGCUCCUUGGACAAUAGCUCAAAAUCUCCACUAAUAUGUAAGUGGUCUAUUUUAAGCACCCUAAGAUUUAUCAUUUUCUGAAAUACUUUGGUGCUUAGCUUCACACCCUUUAAUGCUUGUCGUUCUACCACCAAUAUUUCUACUUUUUUAGAACCCUGCAAUUUAGUAAAAAUAAAAGUACUAUAAGACCAUGCUUAAGUAUGACAAAUUAAGAAAGAGAAAUGCUUUAUACAAAUUGAAGGUCAAACAAAUAGAAUAAAUUAUGUACCGAUAAAAAUAAAUUUACACAUUAUAUCCAACUAAAGGAUAUUUAAUUGAUAAUUUUGUCUUUGACAGAUUGAGUGUUUAGACUUCAGUAAAUGUUCAUUUCAAGUACAGAAUGGUUCAAACAUCUAGAGAUACUUACUGGCCGGAGAAGAUUUAAGCACAAAUGCAUAAAUUAUAAGCAAAUGUAUAUCAAUAUAAAUGUAAAAAAGAAGAAGAAGUAUAACCAAGAUAAAGAUAAUAAAAUUUACUGACUUUAUUUCCUUGUAGAACAUCAAUGACUUCUUGAGGGUUGAACAAUCUACUCCGUUUUCCAGGGUCUUGAGAUUCCAUGCGAACGAUUUCUCUUCCCAUUUCCUGCACUAGAUCAUGCAUCACCAAACUAGACCAAUCAUCCCUUUGGAGCAAGUUCCUUUGGACUAAGGUUGAAUUGAACUUUCAGAAUAAAAACCACACGCAUUUAAUGUUUUGGCAACUUCAUCCUCAUAACAACCAUGGAAGGCACAUGCGAUAUCAAAGGAAAACACUCCGAGUAUUGACAUCAAGUCCAUCAAAGCUUAUCUUGAGAAUCUUUUGAAUAUCACCAUGAGGAAUUGCUUUUAGUUUUUUGAACUCGUAUCUCCAUUCUUUAACGGAUCUCCCUAGCAGAUGUGACCCCAAUGUCACAAGAGCUAAUGGUAGCCCACCUGAAUAUUUUAUUAUGUCUUGUGCCAGUUCAACAUAUUCUUGUGGUGGAGAAAAACAGUUAAAAGCAUGACAAGAAAAAAGUUGUUGGGCUUCAUUGUCAUUUAAAAGUUUGGCCCGGUAUAUCUCACUUGUUGUAAGCCCAUAUAGCAAAUGUUCAUCUCGGGUUGUAAUAAUUAUUACACUACCAGAGCCAAACCAACUUCUUUCUCUUGUUAAGGAUUCUAAUUGGCUUCUAUGAUCUACGUCAUCAAGAACAAUUAGAACCUUUUGAGACCCAAGUCUUGCUUUGAUGAGAUUAGCACCUUCAGCAACAUUAUCAACUUCAAAUUCCUUAGUUUUGAGGAUUUGAUUAAGUAGUUUCUCUUGAAGCUUGACUAGACCAGAUUCUUCAGUUUUUGAUCUAAUGUCAGAAAGGAAGCAACUACCAUCAAACUGUUGAAAUAUUCGAUUAUAGAUAGCUUUUGCCAAAGUUGUUUUUCCAAUUCCACCAACGCCACAUAUACCAACCAUGCAAACUUCAUGCUCACAUCCACUUUGCAGUAACAACUCUAUAUGUUUGAUAGGAGAAUCUAAUCCAGUUGGGUAAUGAGCAACAUCUAGAGGUGUCUGGUUAACCUCUCGCAGAACUUGUUUUAUAAUAUUUUCAAUAAAUUUUGCUUCAUGCCUACAGUUUUUGCAACAAUAAAUACUUAGGUAUUUAAAAAUAUUUGAUGAACAAAAUAAAAAUCAAUAGCCAAAAGAUAAAAGAGUUUAUAGAAUGGAGAAUAUAUUCCUUGUCCCUAUCUAUAUGACACAGUUUGAUUUGACACAAAAUUUAAGAAAUAUAGAAAGACUUUACAAUGUUCCAAAAUUAACCAAGUUAUAAGCUUAGGCAAACGCUUAAAUUCAAAAUUUAAUAGUUGAAUUAAGAAGUCUUACCCAUCAGCAACAUUUCUCAAAUCCCAUCCAGAUAAAUUUGCUGCUUCAGUAAGUGCAGCUUUCCACUUUUCCAUUCUUUCAGCUCCAACAAAUCGUUCCUUAUGUUUUGCCAAAGCUUCGUCAAAGGAUCCAGUUUGCCUUCGCACUUGAGAAGGAUCAACAUCAUAGAAAAUAGGCAAAACUACCUGAUUUAACCUCUCUUUGCAAUCGAGAAUUUUGACAAGUUCAUCAAGACACCAACUAGAGGAAGCAUAAUUUUUGGAGAAAACAACAAUGGCAACCCUAGACUGUUCAAUUGCUUUCUCAAGUUCAAUUGAAAUGACGUCUCCCUUUCUCAAUUCCUCAUCAUCUAUGAAAGUAUUAACUCCAACUUGACACAAUCGGAAAUAAAGAUGACCUGUGAAGUUUUUCCGAGUAUCUUCACCUCUGAAACUGAGAAACACAUCAUAAGAUAAGUUGGAAGAAGAAGAUGAUUCUCCUACAACAAAUUGAGUAUUCAUAUUUGAUGACAAUAAAUUAAAGAGAUUUUUAGUCAAUUUUUUGCUUAAUUAAUUAAAUAGAGAUGUGAAGCAGCUAUUUAUAUACCCACAAGUACUUGUUUGUUCCUGGAAAUUUAAUUUUGGGUCAAGUCAUUUACAAGCCCCAAAGAAGGUUUACAGAAAUGAAAGGGAAGUUUCCAAGACAUAAUAUGUCUAUUCACUUUUAUUUGUCCAGCUAUUAAAAGUAGAUAUACAAUUUACUUUCAUUUCCUUCGUAGAUUUUUACUCAUUCACACUAUUAAAAAUAAUGAUCAUUUUUAUAAUGUAUUUUUUCAUCAUAUUAAUAUGCAAAAAAUUGUAAUUUAUAAUUUUUUUAUAGUUUUUGAAUAUUUAAAUUUUUUGUUUAAAAUAUCAAAUUAAUACAAUCUAAUUUAAUUUUGAAAAUUAAUUAAAUUGACUUUCGAAAAUGACAAUAUGAUAUAAAUGAGAGAAUACCAAAAGAGCUGGCAAAUUUCCACCAAAACUUCGCAAGUGGAAAUUAUUAUUAUCUUAAAGUUAUGAACUCACAUCUACAAUUAUUAUUUAGUUUAUUAUAUUUAAAUAAAAAAGAGGAAAAGUCGGAAGUUGUAAAAUUUUAAAUGACAAGUAGAAUGUUUCAACAUGAAUUUAUGAUACUUUAAUAAGCAAUAUUCGUUCUGUAAUAAAUUAAUCGCAAAGAAUUGAUUAGGAAUUUGGUUGAAAAUAGAAAUGGUCCAAUUCAAGAUGAAACUAUUAGAAUUGACCUUUGGUGAGGAAGUAAAUUAAAUUACUCCCUUCGUCUAUUUUUAUUUGUCUAGUAUUAACUCAUGCAAUAAAUAAAACAAAAACAUGAUCGUAUUUGUUCCUGUAUUCUAACAAAAAAGUUAUAUUAUUUGUCAUUUGUUAUACUUCAGAGUCAUAUUUAUCCUUGAGACAUUAAAUCUCCAUGACCCGCCUUAAUUUAACGCAGAAUAGGACGAACACUCUUCUCCAAAGUCCAAGCUAAGACUGUUUCCAUUACUAAAAAUCAAUAAAUUACACAGUUCGAUCACUUACAAUGUUCUCUGGUAUUGUAGGUUAAUCAGAGAGACACUAUAUUCACUAUACAAAGAAAAAGUUGAUCAAUUUUUAAAACUAAGCUUUAGUGCAACUCUACAUACUAGCACUAUACAAUGGAAAAAUUGGUUACAUAAAUUAAACAAAAUUUUCUAUAGAAGCUACUGCUAUCGAAGCUCGAUGCUCCAUUGUUCAUACCUAAUAAUGGCUUUGUAGCCCUAUAAUAGUACACAUUCUACUACAUCCAUCUUCCCAUCUUCAUUGACAUCAUUUUCCUCUUCUUGUGGGCUUUAUGCUUUUCUGCAAUCCUCAGCCUCCUCUUGGCGUUUCUCAUUGGAUUGACCUUCUCUUCUUGUUUCCUCUUAUCCCUCUUCGAUUUGAUAUUCUUCCUUAUAUGACUGUAGAUUUGGACAAAAUAUGUGUUCCUAUAACAUUGCUUAUGCUCCCUCGCACUCCUUCAGCCAGUUGUUUCACGUCAUCUGUGGAGAUGAUGCAAACGUAAUGUCACGCCCCGAGCGUACACCCUGGGCAGGACCGGCACCCGGAGACCAUUUCUGGCCCCAAGCGAACCCUUGGCCUGGCUUUCUUAACUCAGCGGAAACCUAACCCAACAGAAUAACUCAAUGCAAUGCAAUAUUACAAAACAACUUAACUUAUAAAAUAUGGCCAUAAAGGCAACUCGAAUCUCAAAAUAGAAUAUUUACAUAUAUAUAUAGAUGAGAGACUCAAAACUAACUGACUGACUGUCUGUCUAUGAAGCCUCUAAAAUACUGAGAUGGAUGUUGGGACAGACCCCGCAACACCCUAAUAAGACAAAACUAAGAGAACAAAAUAACUAAGCCCUCCGGAAGCAAGGAGGCUCACACUGACUCUGGAGUGCUCAANNNNNNNNNNNNNNNNNNNNNNNNNNNNNNNNNNNNNNNNNNNNNNNNNNNNNNNNNNNNNNNNNNNNNNNNNNNNNNNNNNNNNNNNNNNNNNNNNNNNNNNNNNNNNNNNNNNNNNNNNNNNNNNNNNNNNNNNNNNNNNNNNNNNNNNNNNNNNNNNNNNNNNNNNNNNNNNNNNNNNNACAAGGAUACAAUAAGCCUGAGAUGUAUAUAGAAAUACAAUUAAACUGAUGUAUAUAAAAAAAUACAAUAAUCUCUGUGUAUGAAAAUACAAUAACUGCUGUGGGAGUUUCUCUAACNNNNNNNNNNNNNNNNNNNNNNNNNNNNNNNNNNNNNNNNNNNNNNNNNNNNNNNNNNNNNNNNNNNNNNNNNNNNNNACUUUGGCUCAUAUGUUUUAAAAACAAACUUCUUUCUUUAGUUUGAGAUAAUUGCUUAAAACCUAGCCCAAAGGCUCUCUUGGAAUCAAUGUUCCCUUUACUUUGCUCAAAUGUGAAAACAUUUAUAAACUUCUUUGGGAAUACUUAGUUCCCUAAUAGCUUUUGAGAAAUGAACUCAACUUUAUGCUCUUGACUUACUUGAAACUUGAGACUCUUUACUUAGCUUGAAACUUUAAACUCUUUACUUGACUUGACACUUGAGUCUAAAAAUGAAGUUAAAACGUUCAAUAAAGACUCUUGAACAACUUUGCAACUUGCUUACCUUGCUUAACUUCUAAGCUUAACUCUUAAUUUCUAACUUCACUUGACUUCUAACUAACUCUCCUUGAAUUGGAAUUUUGGAUUCAAGGUGUUUGAUCACAUGUUAUGGAUGAGUUCUUGACUUUUAGAAGUACCUUGGAGUGUUGGAAACAACUAGGAAACAUAGGUAUAAUACCUAGGAACAUGUAUGAAAAAAGUGGUGAAUGAAAGGGAAGGAUUGGUGUCCUUGGCACUAGGAGAGGUGCGACAGCCCAGCCCUUUGUUCCCCAAAAAUCCGACUUUUUCCCCUUGUUUCUUUCCAAUUCUAAACCCUCUCAACCUCAAGGUUUCAGCAACAACACUUAGAAUCAUAAAGACCCUUAUUAUACAAUAGAUUCAACUCAAAAAUCACAGCCGGAAAUUUGUACUAAACCAGCAAGAACUUCAACACAACACCACUACAACUUCAACAACCAAUAAAUCUUCUCUUGGAAUUAAAAACGAGUUGGUGUGUGGGGGUAUGAACCAACCAACNNNNNNNNNNNNNNNNNNNNNNNNNNNNNNNNNNNNNNNNNNNNNNNNNNNNNNNNNNNNNNNNNNNNNNNNNNNNNNNNNNNNNNNNNNNNNNNNNNNNNNNNNNNNNNNNNNNNNNNNNNNNNNNNNNNNNNNNNNNNNNNNNNNNNNNNNNNNNNNNNNNNNNNNNNNNNNNNNNNNNNNNNNNNNNNNNNNNNNNNNNNNNNNNNNNNNNNNNNNNNNNNNNNNNNNNNNNNNNNNNNNNNNNNNNNNNNNNNNNNNNNNNNNNNNNNNNNNNNNNNNNNNNNNNNNNNNNNNNNNNNNNNNNNNNNNNNNNNNNNNNNNNNNNNNNNNNNNNNNNNNNNNNNNNNNNNNNNNNNNNNNNNNNNNNNNNNNNNNNNNNNNNNNNNNNNNNNNNNNNNNNNNNNNNNNNNNNNNNNNNNNNNNNNNNNNNNNNNNNNNNNNNNNNNNNNNNNNNNNNNNNNNNNNNNNNNNNUGAUUUGUGAAAAGACCAAAAUGCCCUUAAAUUUUCCGGACGGAUUCCCUGCCAACUGCCCAACUUUCAAAGGGCAUAACUCGCUCAUACGAACUCGGAAUCGAGUAAUCUCAAUGGCGUUGGAAAGAUCAUUCCACAAGCUUCGCAACCAUAACUGGAACUACUCCUAACUCAUCCUGAGCUAGGAGUUACGACUGACUCAAAGUUGGCCAAAAUCACUGAUUUCCACACUUAGCCAAAUUUUCCAGAUUUUGAAUUUUUCCAAAUUUCCAGAUUCUGGACUGCCAAAUUUCCAGAUUUUAAAUUUUUCCAAAAAUGACUAUUUCCAAAUUCAAGCUUCUUCAUAUUCAUUUUAAAUUGUCGGAUGUUACACGUAAUCAUCAAAUAUAUUAAGGACUACAAAGUUAAUCACUCGGAAGCCAAAGAGGAAGUGAAGAACAUUUGUAAAUGCAGCUAGCACUUUGCAUAUAAGAUAGUAUGGGCAGACACUUGAAACAACAAGUUUGCAAGAGAUUGAAUGAGAGACCAUACCUGAUAUAACUUUUCCAGCAAAUCCUUCACAAACUUUGUACAGGGGCAACAGCAUAUGAUAUGCAAAGCUUUGGCAAUCAACCUCACCUUCAGGGGACAACAAUCUACUCUGAUCUAUAAGCUUUGGUGAAACUGAUUUGAAACAAUUGAAGAUAAUUCUCAUCUGCAAAAAAUUGUGCACAUUCCACAGCAUGAGAACAGGCACUCCUAGCACCAUAUAUGGGAGAGUAAGGCACAAAAUAUUUUUUUUGGAAAACAACGAGAAGGUAAAUUACAUAGCAAUGACUAGGCUAAGAAAUUUUUUGCGAGUCGAGCAAACAGAGAUAUCCUUAAUUAAUCACCCACCUGCAUAUCCUCCACAUGAAGGGAAAUCUUUCCCAUUGUCUUAAGCAAAUAAGAAAUGACCAAGUAGCGCUGGCCUUCAUCUUCUUGAUCGCUAAGGUCAGACACAAGAGACAGAUAGAUGUUUUUCCCUUUCCUUGAAUCAAGCUGUUGAAAAGCCUUAAGCAGAAGACCCUGCUCGUCAUGUUCAAUGGUGGACCAGAACUCAUCUUUACAUUCAUUUUUUCCUAAGAAUGAAUGCAGAGAGCAAAUUGAAAAGACAAGAUUUUGAGUAAUGAGAUCACUGGCAGCAUCAUCAGUCUGCAGCACCUUCAGCUGACAACAAAGAGAAGUAGCUACGAAGAAAAGUCUACUUGGCCUCAUCAAAAAGUAAGUUUCUUGUGGCAGUUCAAGGUUUUCUUUCCAAGCCUCAGUCACAGUGGCAAAGUAGCAAGCCACAAGACGGUUUGAUAUGUUGCGCAACCACAGAUGCGGAUGCAAAAGCAACUCACAGAUUGCUUCCCACAGAUCCUAUGAGAUGUCAAUAAAAAUAAUAGUCAGAAAACAAAUAUGAAUUUAUCCAAAGAACAGGACAAGUUAUUGGCAAUCUGGAAAUGGGAGUGUGGUAGCUGUGGAGCGUACUUUCCCCAGUACAACAAUAACAUACCUAGUGAAAUCCCACUAAGUGGGGUCAGGGGAGGGUAGAAUGUACGCAGUCCUUACCACUACCUCGUGGAGGUAUAGAGGCUGUCUCCGAAAAACCCUCGGCUCAAGUGCAUCAAACCAAAGUAAAAGUAUCCUCUUCAAACUUUAAGCCCAGUAUACUAUUCAAACUCUAAGCACUUGAUUUUCAAAUACUUCUUAACUUUACACCUAGUCUGUAGUUGCAACUAUCUUUUGGCAUGCUGCCUAAGUUUGAGGACUAAAGCAAUUUCACCUAAGUGGUUGUAGCCACACCAAAAAGUAAUUCAUUUCUUAAAUCUAUCACAAAGCAAAAUGAGGUCCAGCGGUUUUCACAUAAGUCCCCUCGUACAUAUGCUAAGUAGGACAUAUUAUGGAUGACUUGGUUUUAGCCCUAUAUUUUAAGACCAUAGCUAAAAUAAUGAAAUACANNNNNNNNNNNNNNNNNNNNNNNNNNNNNNNNNNNNNNNNNNNNNNNNNNNNNNNNNNNNNNNNNNNNNNNNNNNNNNNNNNNNNNNNNNNNNNNNNNNNUAUCAUAAUCAAGAUCUCCCAACUCUACAGUAGACGUGGCAUUCAAUUCACGAAGAAGAUUUGCCUGUAUGAAAUUAAGAAGUGUUACACGUCAACAAACACCUAAAGCAACAAGUUCAAAAGAAAACUAGAUGGUCUAGUAAUACCGUAGGAUGUACAGAAGAAUCAUUCCCUGCGACAGCAUCAAGAACAUCACAAAUAGAAGUACGGACAUCCAAGCCAGCAGAAAUUACGAGUGGAGAAACAGAUUUGACGGUCUUUUUACUGCUUUCACUACCCAAUGGUUCUACAAUAUCCUUAAUAAUCUGUAAAGUGCCUACACAAAUCUCUGCAACCAGAAAGAAAGGUAAUCUUAGAAAAAGAGCAAGGACAUGAGACCAAACAGGUCCACCAAAACUGUAAGACAAAACUCAGAGACUCUGACCAGGGUCUUUGGAUCUCUUUGACAGAAGCGGAAGCAAGAUGUCAAGAAACUUCCUUGCAGCCAAUGGUCCCUUUAUGUGCUUCGAUAAAAGCUUGAAGACAUUGAGCUCUUUUUCCCCAGGAUAUUUGACAAUCUUCCUGGAAAAGUGAAUACAUCAGUUAAGAGGAGAACUGAUGCUAGUGCAUCUCAUAUAACACUUAAUUACAUAAAGAGCAUGCUAAGUCCACUUAGCCAUAUAGGGUGGAUGACACAUACACAAGAAAAUAAGUAAGAAACCUACUUAUUCUCCGGAGAAGCAUUUUCCAAAAAGACAUUUUAGAGGCAUUGUUAUCAUUUGGUAGAUCCAGGUCCAUGACCUAUUUCGAUGGAACACAUUUUCCAUGGUACAUAACACAUUCUCAGAAUUUCGCUCAUUGAUAUCCAUUGAUACGGACCUCACUUGUGGGAUUUCACGGGAUGUGUUGUUGCUUGAGUUGAUAUGCCCUGCUGAAAGUCUUUGUGGGUAGGAGGGAGUAUAAGAAUGAUCCACAACUCCCGGCAAAGUUGUAACAUUACCAUGUUGAUCUAAAUGUAAUAGAUGUACUCCUAUCUUCUUUACUAUGGCUCCGCCACUGCUAUCCUCUACUCUUAUCUGUUCCCCGCCUUUGAUGUUCAGGCCUUUAAAAGGUCUAUCAUUUGCGUAAGGUAAGUAAUAUACACAUGAUACUUCUCCGUGACCAUCAGGUAUAUCAAAAGGCAAAAUCCAUGAAAAACUCUUUUUAUGGGAAACAGUAACAACAAGGUGUUCAAGCUCAUGUACAUCGCAAAGGCGGCAAACAAACCAGAGAACCAUUCCUAAGAACUUGUUAUUAUGUACUGUGGGCAUAGUCAAACAGAUAGAUGGAGCUGUUACUUUAUUGCUGCACCAAUCUGGAAUCUCAUUGCUUUCGAGAUUAAUUUGUAACAACGACUUCAUCAGACAAAUUAAGACACAAUUAGAUCAUUAAUUAUUAAUGUGAUACGAGAGAGAGAUCAGAGAGGGAGAAGGACUAACCUCAUACCAUUGAUAUUUUCUACACGAAAUUGAUAGAGCAGGGGCACUAAAGAAGCCUUCACUGAAUGGAUUCUGCAGACAAGUACAAUUAUUCAUGUCCAUCUUCUUUAUUGAAGGGAGGUUGUCCAACCCUGUAAUCUUGACCAGUUUUUGGCAAUUCCUAAGUUCAACAACUCUAAGGUACUCUAAAUUUGAUAUUGAUGGGAGUGUUUGAAGGUUCUCACAAUCAUUCAAAUACAAGGACUUCAACCAUGGUAACUUGGAAAAAUCAAAGGGUAGAUAGAGGAAACUGUUGCCGCUCAAAUCUAAAUGAUAUAAGUUGGAUAAACUCCCAAUAUCCCUAGGAACAUCAGCCUCCGAGAAACCACAAUAUGGAAGGCAUAGAAUCGAAAUAAAUUUUGACAAGGAUACUAUGGGGCGUACUCUUGUUUGAGAAAACCUCCUUUUGGUCUCUAAGUAUUGACCUCCCAUUUCCAAUUCUAUAAGAUUUCCUAGCAUUUCAACAGAUCCAGGCAAUUCUUUUAUACCUGUUUCACCUGCAUUAAGAAAUCUUAGGCUUUGCAUAUCUCCAAUGUCAACUGGCAGUGUUUGUAAAGAUGAGCAGUCAUUAAUGCUCAAGUAUUCAAGGGAUUUUAGCUGGCAUAUGCUGCUCGGAAGAUCCGUAAUCUUUUCGCAACCAUUCAAUUGAAGAUCAGUUAGUCUGUCCAAAUUUCCUAUUGAUGGAUGGAUCUCCUUAAGACUUGAGCAAUUGUCAAGCCACAAAGUCUCGAGACUUCUUGAACCACAGAAGUUUGGAGUUCUUCUGAGGUGCUUGCAAUCAGAGAGAUCCAGCAUUUUCAAAUUUCUACAAUACUAAAAGUAAACAAAAUAUUGUUUUAAUUAAGAUUUUCUUUAUCUUAAACAUAACACAUAAAAUUGCAGAAUUGAGUAACGAACCUGCAAAUUCAAACCAAAUUCUUGGAUAUUGCUCCCUUUCAUAUUCAGAACUACAAGCUUCUCAGAUGGAAAAUUUGACGGUAUACAUUUUAAAGGACAUUCUUUCCAAGACAACCAUCUGAGCUCCUUGGACAAUAGCUCAAAAUCUCCACUAAUAUGUAAGUCGUCGAUUUUAAGCACCCUAAGAUUUAUCAUUUUCUGAAAUGCUUUGGUGUUCAGCUUCACACCCUUUAAUGCCUGUCGUUCUACCACCAAUAUUUCUACAUUUUCAGAACCCUACAGUUUGGUAAAAAGAAAAGUACUAUAAGACCAUGUUAUGUAUGAUAAAUUAAGAAAGAGAAAUGCUUUAUACAAAUUGAAGGUCAAACAAAGAAAAUAAAUUAUGUACCAAUAAAAAUAAACUUACACAUUAUAUCCAACUAAAGGAUAUUUAUUUGAUAAUUUUGUCUUUGAUAGCUUGUUUAGACUUCAGUAAAUGUUCAUUUCAAGUACAGAAUGGUUCAAACAUCUAAAGAUACUUACUAACCGGAGAAGAUUUAAGCACAAAUGCAUAAAUUAUAAGCAAGUGUAUAUCAAUAUGAAAAAAGAAGAAGAAGAAGUAUAACCGAGAUAAAGAUAAUGAAAUUUACUGACUUUAUUUCCUUGUAGGACAUCAAGGACUUCUUGAGGGUUGACCAAUCUACUCCGUUUUCCAAAGUCUCGAGGUGAUUCCAUGCGAACGAUUUCUCUUCCCAUAUCCCGCACUAGAUCAUGCAUCACCAAACGACGCCGAUCCCUUUGGAGCAGGUGUCUUUUGACUAGAGUUGCAAUUGCAGUUUCACAAUAAAAACCACAGGGGUUUAAUGUUUUGGUAACUUCAUCCUCAUCACAUCCAUGGAAAGCGCACGCAAUAUCAAGGAAAACACUCUGAGUAUUGUCAUCAAGUCCAUCAAAGCUUAUUUGGAGAAUCUUUUGAAUAUCAAAAUGAGGAAUUGUUCUUAGUUUUUUGAACUCGUAUCUCCAUUCUUCAACGGAUCUCCCUUGCAGAUGUGACCCCAAUGUCACAAGAGCUAAUGGUAGCCCACCUGAAUAUUUUAUUAUGUCUUGUGCCAGCUCAACAUAUUCUUGUGGUGGAGAAAAACAGUUAAAAGCAUGACAAGAAAAGAGUUGCGGGGCUUCAUUGUCAUUUAAAAGUUUGGCCCGGUAUAUCUCACUUGUUGUAAGCCCAUAUAGCAAAUGUUCAUCUCGAGUUGUAAUAAUUAUUACACUACCAGAGCCAAACCAACUUCUUUCUCUUGUUAAGGAUUCUAAUUGGCUUCUAUGAUCCACGUCAUCAAGAAUAAUUAGAACCUUCUUUGACCCAAGUCUUGCUUUGAUUAGACUAACACCUUCAGCAACACUAUCAACUUCAAAUUCCUUAGUUUUGAGGAUUUGAUGAAGUAGUUUCUCUUGUAGCUUGACUAGAACAUAUUCUUCAACUUUUGAUCUUAUGUCUGAAAGGAAGCAACUACCGUCAAACUGUUGAAAUAUUCGAUUGUAGAUAGCUUUUGCCAAAGUUGUUUUCCCAAUUCCACCAACGCCACAUAUACCAACCAUGCGAACUUCAUGCUCACAUCCACUUUGCAGUAACACCUCUAUAUGUUUGAUAGGAGAAUCUAAUCCAAUUGGGUAAUGAGCAACAUCUAGAGGUGUUGGGUUAACCUCUUGCAGAACUUGUUUUAUAAUACUUUCAAUAAACUUUGAUUCAUGCCUACAGUUUUUGCAACAAUAAAUACUCAAGUAUUUUAAAUUAUUUGAUGAACAAAAUGAAAAUCAAUAGCCAAAAGAUAACAGAGUUUAUAGAAUGGAGAUUAUCCCUUGUCCCAAUCUACGGUUUGAUUUGACACGAAAUUUAAGAAAUAUAAAAAGACUUUACAAUGUUCCAAAAUUAACCAAGUUUUAAGCUUAGGCAAAUGCUUAAAUUCAAAAUUUAAUAGUUGAAUUAAGAAGUCUUACCCAUCAGCAACAUUUCUUAAAUCCCAUCCAGAUAAAUUUGCUGCUUCAGUAAGUGCAGCUUUCCACUUUUCCAUUCUUUCAGCUCCAACCAAUCGUUCCUUGUGUUUUGCCAAAGCUUCGUCAAAGGACGAAGUUUGCCUUCGCACUUGAGAAGGAUCAACAUCAUAGAAAAUAGGCAAAACUACCUGCUUUAACCUCUGUUUGCAAUCGAGAAUUUUGACAAGUUCAUCAAGACACCAACUAGACGAAGCAUAAUUUUUGGAGAAAACAACAAUGGCAACCCUAGAUUGUUCAAUUGCUUUCUUAAGUUCAAUUGAAAUUUCGUCUCCUUUUCUCAAUUCCUCAUCAUCUAUGAAAGUAUUAACUCCGACUUGAUACAAUCUGAAAUAAAGAUGACCUGUGAAGUUUUUGCGAGUAUCUUCACCUCUGAAACUGAGAAACACAUCAUAACAUAAGUUGGAAGAAGAAGAUGAUUCUCCUUGAGUAUUCAUAUUUGAUGACAAUAAAUUAAAGAGAUUUUUAGUCAAUUUUUUUGUUUAAUUAAUUAAAUAGAGAUGUGAAGCAGCUCUUUAUAUGCCCACAAGUAAUUGUUUGUUCCUGGAAAUUUAAUUUUGGGUCAACUCAUUUACAGGCCCCAAAGAAGGUUAACAGAAAUGUAAGGGAAGUUUCCAAGAUAUUUCAUAGACAUGUUGCGUUCAAUUUUAUAUGUUAUAAUAUUAAAAAUAGAUAUACAAUUUACUUCCACUUCUUCCGUAGAUUUUUACUUGUUCACAUUAUAAACUAUAGUGAUCAUUUUUAUUUGUACAAUUUAAAAAUAAUCAAAAAUAAGAACUUUUAAUUUAUUUAUUUUAAAAUGUGUCAUACUUCCAAUAAUUCACUUAUGAACCAGUGAGAGUAGAUAAUGAGUGACUUGCUUUCACAUUUAUUGUCAGCACAACUCUAUCAGUCUUCUUUUUUUUUCAUCACUUUCACACUAUCGACAAGUGGAUUGACAUUACCAUGUUGGUCUAAAUAUAGCAGAUGGAUCCCUAUCUUUUUUAUUGCAUCUUUGCGAAAGAACAAAUAGUCAGACUCGUGAACUGUUACCUUUGAUCAUCUGGUCAACAAAAGGACUAGUUAAGCAAGAUAUGUAAUAUACACAUGAUACUUCUCUGUAUUGUCCGAUCGAGUAUAUCAAUAUCACAAAUUCUUGACAUAGAUACUCUCUCUCUAUCGGAUACAGCAAUACUGAAGCGUCCAAAAGUGGAUGAAAGUCUCUUAAAGUCGCAAAAAAAAACAGAGAAUCAUUCCUAAGAACUUGUACCCCUUAUCAUGUACUGUGGGCAUAGUGAAACAGAUAGAUGGAGAUGUUACUUUAUUGCUGCACCAAUCUGGAAUAUCAUUGCAUUCGACACAAAUUCGUAAAACUUGCUUCUUCAGAGUGUGAAAUGACAGAGCCUGGGCACCUUGAUUGAACGAUCUCCUUCAUCCUUGAGCAACCUUGAAGCUUCAAAGUCUCGAGACUUGUUGCACCGUUGAAGUUUGGAGUUUUUUUGAGGGCCGAGCACCAAGAGAUAUUCAGCUCCUUCAACCUUGGGCAACACUAAAUGUCAACCAAGUACAUUAAUAUUCAAGUUAUACAAGACUAUUUUGUAUAAUUUCACUAGUCAAUGAAAAAUGUAGAAUUGGGCAACAAAUUAAACCUGCAAAUUCAAGCCAAAUUUUUCGAUAGCACUCCCUUCCAUAUUAAGAACUACAAGAUUCGCAGCUGGAAAAUUUGGUGGAAUAUAUUUUAAAUGACAUCUUUGCCAAGAUAACCAUUUGAGCUCCUUGGGAAAAUGCCACAAAUCUCCAUGAAUACGUAAUCCAUUGAUUAUAAGCACCCUGAGUUUCUUCAUUUUCUUAAAUGCAUCGGUGCUAAACUCCACUCCCUCUAAUUCCCCUGGUUCAUCUAACCUCAUUACUUGUACAUUUCCGAAACUCUGUAGUUCAGAGAAAAUGUUUUAAUUAGGACUAAGAAUUGUAACACGACAUACAAUUAAAUUAAAAAGGAACAAGGAUUUACUCACGUUUUUUCCUCGUAAAACAGCACAGACUUGUUGAGGUAUGAAUAAUCUACUCCGUUCUACAAGGCAUUGAGAUUCUGAGCGAACAAUUUCUCUUCCCAUAUCUCGCACUAGAUCAUGCAUACUUACACAACCCCCAAGUACCCCUUGGAGCAACUGUUUUUGGACUAAAGUUGCAAUUUCACAUUUAGUGUGAAAACCACAUGCAUUUAGUAUUUCAGUUUUCUUGAGAGUCUUUUGGAUAUCAUCAUGAGGAAUUUCUUUUAGUCUCUUGAAUUUGCGUCUCCAGUUUUCUAUGGAUUCCCCUCGAAAAUGUGAACCCAAUGUCACAAGUGCUAAUGGUAGCCCACCUGAAUAUUUGAUUAUGUCUUUCGUCACCCCAACAUAGUCUUUAGGUGGAGAAAGACUGUCAAAAGCAUGACGAUAAAAAAGUUGCUGAGAUUCAUUGUCAUUUAAUUGGUUGAUCAUACAUCUUUUUGCAUUAAGCCAACUUAGCUAAAGCUCGUCUCGGAUUGUAAUAACUAUUAUACUACCCAAACCAAACCAUUUCUUUUCUUUUGUUAACGAUUCUAAUUGUUUUUUUGUGUCCACUUCAUCAAGAACAAUUAGAACCUUCUUUGACCCCAGUUUUCUUUUGAUUAGAUUGAUUCCUUCAGCAACACUGCGAACUUUGUACUCGUUGGUUUUGAACAGUAUAUUGAGAAGUUUCUCUUGUACACUUUCUAGACCAAUCUUUUUUUCUAGCAAUCUAACAUCAGAAAGGAAGCAACUACCAUCGAAGAUAAAUAAUCGAUUGUAGAUAUUUUUGGCCAGAGUUGUUUUCCCGAUUCCACCAACUCCAUAUAUACCAACCAAGUGAACUUCAUCUACGUGUCCAUUUUGCAAUAACGACUUUAUAGGUUUAGUACGAGAAUCAACUCCAAUUGGGUAAGAAGCAACAUGUAGAGGUGUAUGGUUGACCUCUUUCUUCAUAUCUUGUAUAAUCAUUUCAAUAAAUUCAGCUUCAUGCCUACCAAUAUUUUUACCAAAAAACACUCACAUGAUGGGAGGUGUUACGCUUUAAAAUAGUUGCCUAUCUAUGGAUGGCAAUGGGGCGGUGCGGGACGGGGCGCGUUGAGCUUAAUCUAUAAAAAAUUUAAUUCGCUCUGCAUAACAAUUUUUUUCAUUUUCAACCUGCCCCGCAUGAAACUCCCCACAUAGUUUUUUUAAUAUUUUUCUUUUCUAGUUAAGUUUGACACUAAAAAUAAAAUUCAUAAAAAUAAAUUCAUUUUUUCAUUAAGUUGUAUUAAUUUAAUAGAAAAUGACCUAAAUUUUAUUUUUUAGAAGUCAAUUGGUAAACAUGUAAGAAAUUGUAUUAAUUUUUAUUGAAUCAUUUUCAUUUACCAUCUUGAAUAUUUUAGUAGCUUUAGAGAAAUUAUCUUAAUAAAUAAUGUUCUAUCACUCUUAUAGCAUGUAAAAAGUUAAAAUUAAAUUGAAUCCACAUAAUGCCACAUAUUCCGGCAACCCCGUCCCACAUAGCCUUAAAUCCACUCCAUCCCGCAUCCGCCCCGUUUCAUUGUUAUCUAUGGCUAUCAAACGACCCAAAAUUGUUAACAGAAAUAAAAAGGAAGUUUCCUAAGAGGUACUUUCUCUUUUGGGUAAUAACCAUAGUUAAUAGUAUAAUUAAAAACAUUACAUUUCAUCCUUGUAGGAAAUUACUUAUGGGGUUCUUGAUAGGCAAUCUUACUGUGGAGGAAAGUUGAUAGAAAUUGAAUGGAAACAUUCAAAUUCUUUUUCUUUUUAAUUGAAUGGUUUUCACAUUCUAAAUUUUCUCUACCCACCAAAGGUCAAUUCUAAUAGUGGUUGCAUCUUGAAUUGGACCCUUUUUAUUUUUAAACAAAUUUCUUAGUACACAAAACAAAUAUAUUGCUUACUUUAAAAGCAAGGUAUCAUAAAUUCACGUCGAAACAUUGUACUUGCCCUUUAAAAUUUUACAACUUAUGAUUUUCAUCUUUUUUUAAAAAAAAUAAUGCAAGAAAUAUGUCAUGAUGUUCCACUAUGCCUUUAUAAAUCUCCAUUUAUCUUUGUUUUGUUUGUUUAAUCGAAAUUUAAUCUUCUUACUGUUACGAUUACCAGAUUUUACACACUACUUGCCUAUUCUUUCUUCUUCUAACCUUUUCUUUUCCUUUUUGAAUAUUUUCUUUUAAUAUUAGUAUUUCUUUUGAAUGGUCUAACCAGUAGUUGAACUUAGAAGCUUUCUUUGGUUAUGAAACCAAAUUAAUAUUAUUUACCUUAUUUAGAGGUAUUGCCACUAUAAGUAAUACAACGAUUAACUAUUUUAUGCAAAACUUUCGUAAAUGUGCUUUUACAUAAAUUUCCAUUCAGUGUGACACACACGAAGUAAAACCACAUGUUUCUUCUUUUUGCAUUCCAAAAAAAAGGAAGAAUAUUCUUCUCCAUUACUAAAAAUCAAUAAAUUACACAGUUCAAUCACUUACAAUGUUCCCUGGCAUUGCAUGUUAAUCAAAGAGACACUAUAUUCACUAUACAAUGAAAAAGUUGAUUCAAUUUUUUAAACUAAGCUUAGUGCAACUCAACAUACUACCACUAUACAAUGGAAAAUUUGGUUACAUAAAUUAAACAAAAUUUUCUAUAGAAGCUACUGCCUAUAUCGAACAACAAAAUUUUCUAUAGAAGCUACUGCCAUCGAAGAUCGAUGCUCAAUUGUUCAUACCUAAUAAUGGCUUUGUAGCCCUAUAAUAGUACACAUUCUACUACAUCCAUCUUCCCAUCUUCAUUGACAUCAUUUUCCUCUUCUUGUGUGCUUUAUGCUUUUCUGCAAUCCUCAGCUUCCUCUUGGCAUUUCUCAUUGGAUUAACCACAGCAAUGACCUUCUCUUCUUGUUUCCUCUUAUCCCUCUUCGAUUUGAUAUUCUUCCUUAUAUGACUGUAAAUUUGGACAAAAAUAUGUGUUCCUAUAACAUUGCUUAUGCUCCCUCGCACUCCUUCAGCCAGUUGUUUCACGUCGUCUGUGGAGAUGAUGCAAACGUAAUCAUCAAAUAUAUUAAGGACUACAAAGUUUAAUCACUCGGAAGCCAAAGAGGAAGUGAAGAACAUUUGUAAAUGCAGCUAGCACUUUGCAUAUAUGAUAGUAUGGACAGACACUUGAAACAAUAAGUUUGCAAGAGAUUGAAUGAGAGACCAUACCUGAUAUAACUUUUCCGGCAAAUCCUUCACAAACUUUGUACAGGGGCAACAGCAUAUGAUAUGCAAAGCUUUGGCAAUCAACCUCACCUUCAGGGGACAACAAUCUACUCUGAUCUAUAAGCUUUGGUGAAACUGAUUUGAAACAAUUGAAGAUAAUUCUCAUCUGCAAAAAAUUGUGCACAUUCCACAGCAUGAGAACAGGCACUCCUAGCACUAUAUAUGGGAGACUAAGGCCCAAAAUAUUUUUUUUGGAAAAACAACGAGAAGGUAAAUUACAUAGCAAUGACUAGGCUAAGAAAUUUUUUGCGAGUCGAGCAAACAGAGAUAUCCUUAAUUAAUCACCCACCUGCAUAUCCUCCACAUGAAGGGAAAUCUUUCCCAUUGUCUUAAGCAAAUAAGAAAUGACCAAGUAGCGCUGGCCUUCAUCUUCUUGAUCGCUAAGGUCAGACACAAGAGACAGAUAGAUGUUUUUCCCUUUCCUUGAAUCAAGCUGUUGAAAAGCCUUAAGCAGAAGACCCUGCUCGUCAUGUUCAAUGGUGGACCAGAACUCAUCUUUACAUUCAUUUUUUCCUAAGAAUGAAUGCAGAGAGCAAAUUGAAAAGACAAGAUUUUGAGUAAUGAGAUCACUGGCAGCAUCAUCAGUCUGCAGCACCUUCAGCUGACAACAAAGAGAAGUAGCUACGAAGAAAAGUCUACUUGGCCUCAUCAAAAAGUAAGUUUCUUGUGGCAGUUCAAGGUUUUCUUUCCAAGCCUCAGUCACAGUGGCAAAGUAGCAAGCCACAAGACGGUUUGAUAUGUUGCGCAACCACAGAUGCGGAUGCAAAAGCAACUCACAGAUUGCUUCCCACAGAUCCUAUGAGAUGUCAAUAAAAAUAAUAGUCAGAAAACAAAUAUGAAUUUAUCCAAAGAACAGGACAAGUUAUUGGCAAUCUGGAAAUGGGAGUGUGGUAGCUGUGGAGCGUACUUUCCCCAGUACAACAAUAACAUACCUAGUGAAAUCCCACUAAGUGGGGUCAGGGAAGGGUAGAGUGUACGCAAUCCUUACCACUACCUCGUGGAGGUAGAGAGGUUGUUUCCCUAGUCUCAAGUGCAUCAAACCAAAGUAAAAGUAUCCUCUUCAAACUUUAAGCCCAGUAUACUAUUCAAACUCUAAGCACUUGAAUUUCAAAUACUUCUUAACUUUACACCUAGUCUGUAGUUGCAAACUAUCUUUUGGCAUGCUGCCUAAGUUUGAGGACCAAAGCAAUUUCACCGAAGUGGUUUUAGCCACACCAAAAAGUAAUUCAUUUCAUAAAUCUAUCACAAAGCAAAAUGAGGUCCAGUGGUUUUCACACAAGUCCCCUCGUACAUAUGCUAAGUUGGACAUAUUAUGGAUGACUUGGUUUUAGCUCUCCUAUAUUUUAAGACCAUAGCUAAAACAAUGAAAUACAGCAGCACUAGCACUAAUGAAAUAAAGGAUAGAGAGAGAAAAUAUAGUAAUUUUUUUCUUUCUACAGAGACUAAUAUCCAUUCUAUAGAGGAUAGAUAUAGAAGAUAUUUUAUCUUUUUAAAUUCUACAAAAACAAACAUCCAAUAUGUGCUAUAGAGUAUCAAAACAAUGUCUCAAAGGCAAUUCAACCAGUUAUGAAUAUCCAUUAGCUCCAUUUUAUCCCAAUAGAAUAAGUCUGGAUGGCAGGCAAAUCUUAUAAAUGUUCAUAUGUUGUUGUUGUUGUCUUAUUUACAGAAGUAAUCAGUUAGUACCUAGUAGUAGUCACUUUAAUUUCUAACAUAGGAUUAAAAGAAAGGAAUAAAUACCUCAAGAUCCUUUCUGAAGCACAACUUAGGAAAUUGAUUUAAUAUCUUCUCAAACAGAACCAGUGAAUAAUAUGCUUCUUUCCAAGAUGAAAUCGUUGCAUCAUUCGGUAGAUCCACUUGCUUAUUUGUAAGAACAUUAACAGCAGAUUGCAAGAUGUUUCUCAUAACAGGUAGGAGGCUAUCAAUAUACUUUUGGAAACCAUCUUUAAGUCCUUCAAUGAGUAACCCCAAAACCUGUAAAAGAAAUAAUGAAGUCUUGAAACAUGUUUUUCUAUUUUUUGAUGAGGAAGGAGUUAUAUCUCAGAUUCAUGACAAAAUAAUGACGUCAGUUUUUGUCCAUUCUUCCGGCUAUUUAAUUCAUAGUUCAUAUACAUAAACGAAUAUGAAAAAAGUGAAUGACAUAUGGAACUUGUAAUCCUUCUUCGGUAUUUCCAAACUUGCUCCACGAUGGCAUAAUGUAGUUGAAUAAAAGAACAGUUUGGGGUUUUCACUCGUUUACCUGUGCUGCAGCACUCCAUAAAUGUGGUUUAUCUCCCAGAUACCAGGACCGACUAAACUCAAGAAUUGACUGGAGUGAACGGGGGCUGACUCGUCCAACAAGUAACUUUAUGACUGUACCAGUCAUUGAACGGACUCUGUUGUCACGAUCAUUCGCCAGACAAACCACCAAAUGCAGAAAAAACGUCUGAGAUUGUUCAUCUAUGAUGCUAACUGGGAAUUUCAUUAUAACAGCAUGAAGCAUUUCAAGGAUAGCUUCUCUUCCAGUUGAAUGCUCAUAUCUGAAAAAUUCAAAAACAUCAUUACAGAGAUGUCACCAUCUAUAAAUUUUACCAAAUGAAAUUAUUGAUUGUGCCCUUAUGUCCUUGCCUUAAGUUUGAAAGUAAGAAAUCAAGAUGUUGUUGAAGACGUUUCUCAGAUAUAUGGUAGUCCAGUAAAAACUGCAGCAAAAUUUGGCUGCUUUUCUUACGAAUUGAUUCAACUUGACUAGUCACCAUCAACACUGCAAGAUUUCUGCAACUACCAACUUCCUACUCACUAUUGCUUUCAACAGUGAGAGAGCCACAAAAGAGGGAUUUCUUUCAAGAUCAACAAAAAGAGGAAACUGGAUUAGCAUAUGCAGUUGAUCAGUAGAAAGUGUGAUCUUAGUGCUACGCAAAAGCACAGUUAGCAACUUAACGCAAGACUCCAAUAAUGGAUUACUGGAAGUUACUGAACCUUGAGCAAUAUUCAGUAAUGAAUUCUUUAUCUUCUCUGCCUGAGAUUCAAGAGAUGGCAAAGGGAGCCUCACCAGAGGAGAUAAGCACCUAAGUGAGGCAGACAUGACAUUCUCAUAUUUUGAGUUUAAGCAUUCACCCAAUAAUCUUACAAAUGGAUCUAGCAUUGACAACAACUGCUCAUCUUUCUUGUCAAAUUUCAUGUUCUUCAUGUAAUUCUGAAGCACUCCAAGAGCAAAUUCAGUAAUAAGAUGGGAAUAUCGUGGAUCAACGCUGACCAACUUAUCUGAUUUAGCAAUCUGGCUGCUUACUCCAUCUUUCUUUUGCUUACCUUCCAUUAAAGUCGAUGUCUCUGCAUGCCCUGGAGAUUCAUCUUUUAUGCCAUCUUUGAUCAGACCAUAUUCAUAGAUAAAGAGUUCUGUCUGGUUAACGGAAGGAUUACACUGUAUUCCAGCAGCUAUAUGAGAGAACAUAUUCUCAAAUUUUGAUUUUACUUUUGGAGUCAGCUGCUUCUGUAGAUGCUUAAGAAUUGGCGCAAGCAGCUUCAGAGCAUGUGUUUUGAAUGUGAUGCUUUGGGCAAUCAAUUUAAGGGUAUCAUAUGACUUCUGCUUCCUAGUCUCUUCCAUCUUUGAAGCAAUCUUCUCAACCUCUUUCUCCUCUGAAAUAUCACUAAGUAUAUCAUUUAUUGCAAUCGAGAGAAGAUCCUCUAAACAAAAAUCCAGCUUCCCACUACUGGGAUUUAGAAGAAAUUUUGAUAGUAGAAAAUUGAGAGUGAAUCCCAAAACAUGCAAUUCAAAUCCUCUCUUCAGAGUGCCUCUCAAGACUUUGACAACAAAUUGCAAGUACUCCAGCCCUAGUUCUUUUAAACAAGCAGCCAAAGCAGCUCUGGCUUCAUCACGAACACUUUCCAAACGAUUCUUAAGGAAAUUCGCUAUGCGAUGCAUCAUAGAUGGAAGGUGCGAUUCCAUGAUGUCUCCCGAAAUUCCGCAAUAACACCUUUUGUUUAUCUGGUUUCAGUGUCAUCUCCCGAAAGCAUCUAUUGAGUAAUGCAUAAUACAAUCUCCAGUCCAUGAAUUUAGAAAUUGAUCCAACAGCUUCCAAACAUGCACUUCUAAUAUUUUCACCCUUUCCAACUUGUCCAUCAACCAACAUUUUAAAGAGAAGAGGGAUAAACACUUUAUUUAUGAGAACCUGCACCAGAAUUAUUCCCAACUAUUAGUACAGCUUAGCAACACAGAGCACAAAUUGAUGCUUAAAGAAAAAGGCAAGUAACCACCUUAGACAGAUUCCCGGAAUAUGUAACUCAUCGAUUUUAAGCACCCUCAAAUUUUUCAUUUUCUUAAAUGUCUUGGUGCUCAGGUUCGCGCCUUUUAAUUCCCCUGGAUCUACCACCAGUACUUCUACUUUUUCGGAACCCUGUAGUUUCAGCACAUAUUAAUUGAACAAAAGCAAUUAUAAGCAAAUAUUUAUCAAAUUAUUGAAAAAAAUUAAAAUCACGAAAGAUAAAGAAUCUACUGACUAUAUUUCCUUGUGGAACAUCUCGGACUUCUUGAGGUUUGAACAAUCUACUCUGUUUUCCAGAGUCUCAAGGUGAUUCCAUACGAACAAUUUCUCUUCCCAUAUCUCGCACUAGAUCAUGCAUCAUCAAAUAACGCCAAUCCCUUUAGAGCAAGUUCCUUUGGACUAAGGUUGAAAUUGCACUUUCAGAAUAAAAACCACACGCAUUUAAUGUUUUGAUAACUUCAUCCUCAAAAAAUCCAUGGAAGGCACACACGAUAUCAAGGAAAACACUUUGAGUAUCACAAUCAAGUCCGUCAAAGUUUAUCUUGAGGAUCUUUUGAAUAUCACAAUGAGGAAUUGCGUAUCUCCAUUCUUCUACGGAUCUCCCUUGUAAAUGUGACCCCAAUGUCACAAGAGCUAACGGUAGCCCACCUGAAUAUUUGAUUAUGCUUUGUGCAAGCUCAACAUAUUCUUGUGGCGGAGAAGGACUACUAAAAGCAUGACAAGAAAAAAGUUGUUGAGCUUCAUCUUGAUUUAAAAGUUUUGCCUUGUAUCUUUCAUUUUCUCUAAUCCGAGAUAACAAAUGCUUGUCUCGGGUUGUAACAAUUAUUAAACUACCAGAGCUAAACAAACUUCUGUCUCUUGUUAAGGAUUCUAAUUGGCUCAUAUGAUCCACUCCAUCAAGAAUAAUUAGAACCUUCUUUGACCCAGGUCUUGCUUUGAUUAGAUUGACGCCUUAGCAACACUACUAACUUUGACGUCCUUAGUUUUGAGAACUUGAUUUAGUAGUUUUUCUUGUAACGUGACUUGACCAAAUGCUUCAGCUUCUAAUCUAACAUCUGAAAGGAAGCAACUACUAUCAAAUUGUCGAAAUAUUUGAUUGUAGAUAGCUUUAGCCAGAGUUGUUUUCCCUAUUCCACCUACGCCCAUAUAUACCAACCAUACGAACUUCAUCUGCACUUCCUUUUGGAGUAACAACUCUAUAUCUUCGACACGAGAAUCUACUCCAACAGGGUGCCAAGAAACAUCUAGAGGUGUCUGGUUUACCUCUUGUAGAACUUGUUUUACAAUACUUUCAAUAAAUUUUGAUUCAUGUCUGUAUAUUACCAAAAACAACAGUUAGAAUUAAAAAAAAAAACAACUUUGAUAUGUGGAAAAAAAAUAAUUGAUAACCAACUUAUGACUUUUGACUGAUAAGUCAGUGUGACCAGCUUAUAAAUAUUACCCGUCAACAACAUUUGCAAAUCCCAUCCAGAUAAAUUUGCAGUUUCAGUAAGUGAAUCCGUCCAUUUUUUCAUUCUCUCAACCUCGAAUGAUCGUUCCUUAAGCAUAGCCAAAGCUUCACCAAAGCAUCCGGUUUGCUUGCGUACAUGAAAAGGAUGAACAUCAUAGAAAAUAGUCAAAACUAUUUGCUUUAACUUCUCUUUGCAUUCAAGAAUUUUAACAAGUUCAUCAAGACACCAACUAAACGAAGCAUAAUUUUUCGAGAAAACAACAAUGGAAACUCUAGAUUCUUCAAUUGCUUUCUCAAGUUCUGUUGAAAUCACCUUACCUUUUCUUAAUUCCUCGUCAUCUAUGAAGGUAUUAAUUCUGACUUGACAUAAUCUAGAAUAAAGAUGACCUGUGAAGGUUUUUCGAGUAUCUUCACCUCUGAAACUCAGAAACACAUCAUAAGAGAAGUUGGAAGAAGUAGUUGAUGAUUCUCCUACAACAAAUUGAGUAUUCAUAUUUGAUGUGAAUAAAUGGAAGAAUGAGUAGCUAUAUAUAUAAUAUACCAUGCACAUUCUAUGGUUUUUUCUUGGUAACUUAACUAAUGCUAUAUAUUCUUUAAUUUAUUUUGUACAAUUAUUCUUCAUUAAAUUUUGUUAAUUGGGAUUUUUUUUAAAUUGAUUCUUUACCUUUUGUCUCAUCUUUAAUUUGUUAAAGACUUGAAUGAUAAAAAUUUAAAGUAAGAUUCUUUCUUCCUUAACAACUCAAAAGUUCAUCUCUCCACAUAAUUAUGAUGAUGUUAAGCUUGAUGUCAUAAUCUUUUAAUAAUGGAAUUGAAAACAUCGAUUUGUUCUCAAUUCACAAGUUGGAUUAAACGUUUUUUUUCUUUCUUUUUACCUAAGUAUCACAUAAAUUAUAACGAUAAUUUUUUAAAAGAAAAACAAUUUGUAUUAAUAGUAAAAACUAGGAAACUUUGUCGUAAUAAAGCUAACUACUAGUCUAUUGCAACUAUUAAACAACUAGAGCUAUCAAUAUGGGCUGACCCAUCCCAUCCGGGUUAAUCUAUACAGGUUUUGAAAUAUGACGGGUUAGGCCGGGCUAGCCCAUUUUUGGUGUGGGCCAGAAAAUGGUCGGUCCAACCCACAAGUACGUGGGCUAGGGGCUUGUCGGGCCAGCCCUCUUUUCGUAAAAGUAUAUUUUUUAUAAUUUUUUAAAUUAAAUUAUAAUUUAAAAAUAUUAUCAUAAAUAUCGACAAGAUAGUAUUACACGGUGUUAGUGUUGACACCUAAUUUUGACCCUCCACAAUAAGAAUUAAUUUGUGAGCUUUCUUAAUUCCAAACGAUUUGAAAUAACUAAUUUUAUAAAAAUUCAAAAUAUGUUUCAAAGAUAUUUUAGGAAUUUUAUUCACUUUUAUAAUAUUUUAAAUAAUAAAUAUGUUUUAUAUUGUUACGUAUGUAACUAAUAUAUUUUAUAAACACUUGAAAAAUAUCUUGAAAAAGAUUUUUUUUUUUUUAUUAUUAUUAUCAUUUAUUUUUAACGUUAAACACUUUACUAAUUUAAUUUAGUUUGAAUUAUAGGUAUGUUUUUGAAUUAAUUAGUUUGAUUGAGUUAAUUAUUUUUUAGUUUGUUAAAUUUAAGAAGCUUGUUAAUUGAUCUUGUUUAAAUUCAUCUCAUUUAGCUUUUGCCGAAUUUGCUAAUUAAAUCCGAUUUAGCUAACUUCCUAAUUCCCAUUAGGUCAUAAUUGCUUCCAUGUGGCUUAAGCCAAUUUAAAUCUCACUUGGACCAAAUCUAAGAUCAGACUUGGGCAUGUCCUCAAUUUCCAAUUCCCAAGCUCAUUUCCCCUUUGGUUUCCAAUUAAGCCGAGCCCAACCCAUCCUUCUCCAAAUUUCCCGACCCAAUCCAACACAACUGACCCGACCCGGCCCAUUCCAACUCUAAAAGAAACUCAAAUGUCCUUCUCUUUUCCAAGGUCCCAGAAGCAGUUCCAAACGUUCACAGACCGACAAAGCAACAGCAGUCCACGGCAUCCUCACGAUGAGAGACGAUUCCAAAGGAAUCAACACGGAAUAUUCGAAUCACAAUAACCAACGACGUCAAUUCCGAUACACGGCGUGAAAGCAUGGAGAUACACGCAAGCAGUGAGGAACGAGACGGACAGAGGGCAGUACUAUUCCUUGUCUUCUUCCUCCAAUGUCUCUCUCAACCAGUACUAUGGCAGUAGCACGCGGUUUUCACCUUUCCUCUUUCGGAAUGGGGCGAAAACCUCAGAAGAAGGGUGUGUGUCCGAAUUUGUGAAAGGUUUUUGGAAUUCAAAUUUAUGGGACUUGAAUCCGAAAUUGCAUUUGUCCUUUCCCCCCACAAUCUACCCUAAUUUUCCCAUAUAUAAUCAUCUCUUCUAUUAAGUCUUAAGAAGUCAUUAAGUCGGUUAGUUAGCUCAUUAAUUUAAUAGUCAGUUAGUUAGUUAUUAAAAUCUGUUGUAACUAACUACACUGCUUGUAACUAACUACACUGCAGAAAGCCAGCUAAGGCAUCGUGUAUAAAUAGACAUUCAAUUGUCAUUGUUGACACAAGAAAUAAAAUUCCUUUCUAUCCUUUGUUCAAAGUGCUCUCAAUUCAAUUGUUCAUCAUCUGUGAUUGAUGAAAGUUAACAUGGUAUCAGAGCAGUGAUCAUAAGGGAUUGAUCUGCGUAGAAGAGAAGAACCCAGAGGUGCUGAGAAGCUGUAGAAGAAGCUCCUGAAACAAGCAUCAAUGGGGACUAAUGAAGUUACAGAUCUAAGUACAACAAUAGGAACAAAUGAGAUUACAACUCUAAAUCACAAUCACCCGCUUUAUCUCCAAGCUUCAGAUGCACCUGGAGUAGUUCUGGUUCCAAUCAAAUUAACAGGGCCAGAAAAUUACGCUUUAUGGAGCCGAUCGAUGAAAUUGGCUCUUAGAGGAAAAGGGAAACUUGGAUUCAUUGAUGGAUCUUGUGCGAAGACAACUUAUAAAGGAGGAUUAGAGGAACAAUGGGAGAAGUGCAAUGCAAUAGUACUGUCAUGGAUUGCGAGCACAGUUACGAGUGAAUUACUGCCAGGGAUUAUAUACGCUUCAAAUGCUAAGAGAGUUUGGGAAGAUUUUCAGGAGAGAUUUGAUAGAUCAGAUCUCACUAGAAUUUACCAUUUGUGGUCAGAAAUUGCAGCUCUCAAACAAGGUACUGAUUCUGUGACCUCUUACUACUCGAAAUUGAGAGAUUUAUGGGCUGAAUUAGAAGUAAUGGUUCCAUCACCUGGUUGUACAUGUGCGGAUUCAACUUCUUAUAUGGAGCAUUUAAGAUCUCAGAAACUGUUGCAAUUCUUAAUGGGAUUGAAUGAGAGUUUUGGACAUAUCCGGAGUAGCAUUCUAGCUAGGAAGCCUGUAGUGACAGUAAAUGAAGCAUAUGCAGUUGCAGCACAAGAAGAAAGUCAAAGAGUCCUAGGUGUUUUGGAUAAAAGCAGGGAUCCGUUAACACUUUUAGCAGGGAAAACUCAAGGAUAUAGAUCAAAGCCAAAGAAGUUUGUGCCACCAGGAACAAUUUGCGAUCAUUGUGGUUUCAAAGGCCAUUUCAAGGGUGAUUGUUAUAGGUUGGUAGGGUAUCCACCAGAUUUUCAAAGCAAGAGAAGAGGACCUGAUGGUUUUAAGCCAGAUUUCAAGCCAAAUGCACACUUAAGUAAGAAUACUGAUGAUCUCACCAACAGAGGAAAGCUUACUGAAAAUUAGGGGUCAUCAUCUCAAUAUGAGGAUUUGGGAAACAAAGUGGGUCGAGCAGGAAUAUCAGGAUGUGUUGCUAACUUGUCAGGUAUGAAUUCUUUAGAUUUCAAAACAGACACAGUUUAUGAGUGGAUAAUUGAUAGUGGAGCUACACAUCAUAUUACACCUAAUGAGGAGUUAUUAAUUGCCAAUAAAAGAACACAUAAUAGUGUUGGAGUUCAAGUUCCAACAGGGAAGAGGUGUGACAUCAAGAGUAUUGGAGUUGUGAAGAUUUUAGAAGGGGAAGAACUUCAGAAUGUGUUGUAUGUGCCAGAUUUCAAAUUUAGCUUGUUAUCAGUUGCAAAGCUAACCAGGGAACUUGCUUGUUCAGUUUCUUUCUAUCCUGACUAUUGUAUAUUUCAGGGACUUUACAAUGGCAAGGUAUUGGGGAUUGGUAAAGAAAAGGAAGGACUAUACAUACUAGAGAAUCAACUAAGGUCAAUAGUUCAUGCUGUGACUGUUGACAAGGGGAAUGGAGAUACAAAGCUAUGGCACUUAAGGCUAGGACAUGCUUCACCUGGAGUUCUAAAACACAUCCAGUCUUUGAAACAUCUCUCAAAUAAAGAGGUGCAACAUAACUGUGAGAUAUGUCCUUUAGCAAAGCAAUGUAGAUUGAAAUUUCCUAUUAGUACAAGUAAAACAUUUGGAGUUUUUGAACUGGUUCAUGUAGAUGUUUGGGGACCAUAUAGAAAGCCUACUUUUGACAAGAAAUAUUAUUUUGUUACUAUAGUAGAUGACUAUAGCAGGUACACAUGGUUAUGUCUCAUUCAUUCCAAGAGUGAAGUCAUUGUAGUACUCAAAGAUUUCAUUGCUUUAAUAAAAAAUCAGUUUGGCUUGUCUGUGAAAGCUUUAAGGUCUGAUGAUGGUACCGAAUUUUUCAGUUCAUCAGUUGUUGAUUUACUUGCUUCAUGUGGUAUUGUACAUCAAAGUAGUUGCGUUUAUACCCCACAACAGAAUGGUACAGUAGAAAGGAAACACAGACAUAUCUUGGAAGUUGCAAGGGCUUUAAAGUUUCAAAGCUCUCUUCCUAUUCAUUUUUGGGGUGAGUGUGUUAGGACUGCUGUGUACUUGAUAAAUAAAUUGCCUACUGAAGUGCUGGGAGGGAGAUCACCUUAUGAGAUGCUACAUCAGAAAAUACCUGGUAUUGAUCAUUUAAGAGUGUUUGGUUGCCUAUGCUAUGCAACUAGGUUGCCUAAAGGAGAUAAGUUUGCCCCUAGAGCUAGAAAGUCAGUUUUUCUAGGAUAUUCUGAAGUUCAAAAGGGUUACAGAUUAUAUGAUUUAAUUGAGCAGACAUUCUUUGUGAGCAGAGAUGUGGUCUUCAAAGAGAAUAUUUUUCCUUAUCAAACAGAUACAUUGUCUCCUGAGUCAGACAUGUUUGAGUUAAAUAGCUCAGAAUUGAGUCAUGUAUAUUCAAAUGAGGAUGUGGUGUUCGAUACAACAGUGGUUGAACCAUCUGUCUGUGGUAUUGAACCACCCGAGGUUGAUGCAGUUCCUGAUGUUGUCACUGCAGUCACAGAGGAUAGUGAUUCACUAUAUGAAGGGAAUCCAAUCUCAUCACCAGAUAUACAACCUGUCAUUAUUCCAUAAACACAUGUCAGACCUCCCAGAAACAUCAAACCACCUAGUUGGCUUGAUGACUACAUUACUAAUCCUAAGAAAUCUGCCAAUUGUACAUAUCCCAUCUCAAAUUACCUUCAAUAUUCUCAUCUGUCAGCAGCUUACCAAGCCUAUUUAGGUACUUUUUCUCAACCAGUUGAGCCUAAAUCCUUCAAGGAAGCAUCUUUAGAUGACAGGUGGGUCGCAGCUAUGAGUGAUGAAAUUGCUGCCCUUGAGAGCAAUCACACCUGGGAUAUAGUCGAUUUGCCACCAGGUAAACAAGCCAUUGGUUCUAAGUGGGUAUUCAAGAUCAAACACAAUGCUGAUGGAUCUAUAGACAAGUACAAGGCAAGGUUGGUAGCUAAGGGGUACAAUCAAAAGGAGGGGUUAGACUAUCAUGAGACUUUCUCACCAGUUGCCAAAAUGGUAACAGUGAGAACUCUCAUUACAAUUGCAGCUUCCAAAGAUUGGCCUCUCAUUCAGAUGGAUGUUAACAAUGCAUUCCUACAAGGUGAUUUAUAUGAAGAGGUUUAUAUGGCUUUGCCACAAGGGUUUCACAGACAGGGGGAGACUAAAGUAUGCAAACUGACCAAGUCUUUAUAUGGAUUAAAGCAGGCCUCUAGACAAUGGAAUAUUAAAUUGUCUACUGCUCUACUGGAAACAGGCUAUGUUCAGAAUUCACAUGAUCAUUCCUUGUUCACAAAACAUUCAGGAGAUGAUAUAGUGAUGAUCCUUGUAUAUGUUGAUGAUUUGUUAAUUACAGGAAACAGUCAAAGUUUGAUUGAGGAUGCUCAAAAGACUCUACACAACAAAUUUAAAGUGAAAGACUUGGGGCAACUUAGAUACUUCCUAGGAAUUGAGAUAUUGAGAUCAGAUAAGGGAAUCUUACUCAAUCAGAGAAAGUACACCUUGGAACUGCUGUCCACAGUGGGGUUAGGUGGUGCUAAGCCAGUUUUUACUCCUAUGGAGAUGAACACAAAGCUUACUACAAUAGAGUAUGACUCAAUGGUUGGAAAUAAAGAUGAUCCUGUACUAACUGAUGUACAUAGCUAUCAACAGUUGAUAGGGAAGCUGAUUUACUUAACAAUCACCAGGCCAGACAUUUGUUUUGCAGUACAGGUCCUAAGUCAAUUUAUGCAACAUCCCAAGAAGUCACAUUGGGAUGCAGCACUAAGAGUCCUUAGAUACCUGAAGGGAUCACCAGGACAAGGAGUAUUAUUGAAGAAAGGACCAAUUACAAACUUGACAGCCUUCUGUGAUUCAGACUGGGCUGCAUGCCCCAAUACUAGGAGAUCAGUAACAGGAUAUGUUAUUAUGCUUGGAGAGUCUAUGGUCUCAUGGAAAUCAAAGAAGCAACAUACAGUGAGUAGGAGCUCAGCUGAGGCUGAGUACAGAAGUAUGGCAGGGGCAGUAUCAGAAAUUAUUUGGUUAGUUGGUUUACUGAAAGAUCUGAAAAUAGAUGUCACUACUCCAGUCAGGUUGUGUUGUGAUAGCAAAGCAGCUAUGCAAAUUGCUUCAAACCCAAUCUUUCAUGAAAGGACUAAGCAUAUUGAAAUAGAUUGUCAUUUUGUGAGAGAGAAGCUCAAAGAUGGCCUAAUCAAACCAGAGUUUGUUGGCACUAAAUCUCAGUUGGCAGACUUGCUUACAAAAGGCUUAGGAACAGUACAACAUCAUUUUCUUCUGUCCAAGUUAGGAGUUCUUGAUGUUUUCCAUCCUAGCUUGAGGGGGAGUAUUAAGUCUUAAGAAGUCAUUAAGUCGGUUAGUUAGCUCAUUAAUUGAAUAGUCAGUUAGUUAGUUAUUAAAAUCUGUUGUAACUAACUACACUGCUUGUAACUAACUACACUGCAGAAAGCCAGCUAAGGCAUCGUGUAUAAAUAGACAUUCAAUUGUCAUUGUUGACACAAGAAAUAAAAUUCCUUUCUAUCCUUUGUUCAAAGUGCUCUCAAUUCAAUUGUUCAUCAUCUGUGAUUGAUGAAAGUUAACAUCUUCUAUUCAUUGUAGAGGGGGGGAUUUUUUUUUUUGGAGUUGAAAAUUUUAGAAAAAGAAACAUUGAGAAGUAGCGAGAAAGCAAGAAGAAAAUAUUGGAGAAAAGUGGGGAGUUUUUCUUGAGCGAUUUUUACACUUGAGAAAUUUGGAAUACAUUUUAGUUUUUGGUUUGUAAGAGCCUUUGCUCGAAGUCAGUUCGGAUAUCCCGAUUGUUUGCUCGAUUUUUUGAAGUGGUGUAAGAGGUCGCCGCUCGUUUCGGCUCGUUCUGUCUCGGCUUCGUUGCACCUUUAAAGGUAACACCUCUUUCUUUGUAUGAUUUUUCUUCCUUUAUAUUUUAAGAUGGUGUUUUACUUGUAUCCUGGAAGUUUGCUUCCUGCUGAUAGUUAUUAAGUUCUUGACGUUCUGAUACACCUUAGUUGCGAUACUCUAGUUAUUUCGAGUAUCGUUUUCGAUCUUGUUGAUUCGUGCCUAGAUUUGCUGCUUCUUUGUUGGUUUUAUUUAAGGGUGUUUCACUAAUCUUUUCUUGAAUUUAUUGGUUUGAAUUCCACCGAGCAUGUAUGCUUCGUUUCACUCGUUCAUUAACGUCAGCAUCUGUAGGCUCUCCCUUUGCUGCUUGCCUUUGCUUAACCUGUUCAACAAGUAUGUUUGUCCAGUUUAGCGAUUGAUUGAGAGUGUUCAAUGUCUAUUGCUGUUUUUGAAGUAAAAUUGCAGCUUUGCAUCGGGUUAUUUAAGUAUCGGCUAAUCGUCCUAUGUUUUUGAGGCAUAGUAAUUAAUUUUCUUGCAUGUUGCCGCUAAUUAAAAUUGCAAUGGCUCUUCUAUCUUUGUCUAAAUCUAAAGAUGUCUCCUGAUGUUGGCUCGCCAUCUAUCUUGGCCAUUUACGUGUUUCUUUGCUUAAUAAUGCCCCUUUUCUCUGCAUUUUUCUUGUAUUUAUUCAUGUCUACUCGUGUUUGUGUCCGGCAUGCUCUUUAUCCCUUAAUGAUCUCAUCACUGGCUCCCCAACUUGUUUGGAAUUUGAUCCCGCCAUCAGUAAUUAAUUUUGUUUUCUGUACUGAAAGUCCCGGGUGACAAUUACUUAAGAAUGUGGAGAAUGACAGCCUUUAUUGUGCUAUUAGUCUCCUCGUCUGCAAUAAGUUGAUUUUUUCAGCUAAAAGUAGUAUUGUUGAGAUAAAUAUUUAACAAAGAUUCCGACUUGUUCAUCUUAUGUCUAAAAAACAAUAAUCAUAUCCCUUGGCUGAUUCACGUGUUUCCCGAAGUGUGCUAAGUAAUGAGUUGUUUCGGUCUCAAAUGUAUAUCCUGGCUGCCGUAGUUGCCAAAUUGGACUUUAGUAAUUUCAUGUUGUCUUUUUCCUUUGGUCUACAAUUUAAAAUUUAAUUAUUAUUUUUUCUAUGUGUCCACACUUGCCUAUUUCAACUACUGGUAAUUUGCUAAAAAAUGGAGUGAGUCGGAGGCAAUAGUAUAAGCGUGAGGAGUCUGGUCAUCUCGGCUUGCUCUUGGUUUUUCUUUUCAUGUAUUUGCAUUUUUUGUUCACAGCUACUGCUAGUUGCUUGCAAUAUAAAUGGGUUAUGUUCCUUUUGAUACGUUCAUCAUUUAGUGACUAGUUCUGAGAUGUUAUUACUGGUUACUGAUUCUCUUGUUCUUUUCUUCGUUUUGCAUGAAAAAUCUGUCUGAGUUCAUUACGAACUCCUAUCUUCCCUCUUGCAUUUUGGGAGAGCCGCAAAGGCUCAAAAACUCCCUUUAUCGAGUUAGCCGGCCACUAAAAUCAAAGAACAAGUCCCUCAAAUCGACGAACAGGUCCCAAAGGUGGGGAAAUGCGGAAGCGGAGGAUAAUUGAAAAGAUCGGGCCAAAGGCCCACUCUUUAUAUAAAGAGGAUUGUAUUUUUUAUUUAUUAGGCCUAAGUCCAGUUAUUUGCUAUUAUAUUGUUAGAAUUUAGGACAGGUGGCGAGAAUUGGGCCUUGUGGCCCAAAAUGAAAUUAGGCCCAAGUGUUGGUCCAGGCGGACAGAAAAAUCAAACUUGGGCCCGAGUCUCUUUCCCUUUCUAUUUUAUUGUGUUUAUCUACUAGUUAAUAUUUGCCAUUAAUCUUAAGAUUAACAAUUCAAAUCCCCAAAAGACGCUCAUUUUCGCUUUAAAUCUUUUUUACUAAACCAUUCAUCUCUUAACAAGACUUAAAGAAAUAAUUUUAUAAGAUAACCACUCAGAUAAUAUUUAAAUAUUUCCCUUUUUUCCUUUUUAAAAAAAAAAUAGCUCUAACUAUAAAAUAGUUCAAUCAUGUUAUUCGAAUUAAGUUAAAGUAUUUUUAGCCAAAUAAUUAAUUGUCGGAUAACCGCUUAUUAGCGGGGAUUUUGGGUGCUUUCAAAUCCUUUCUGAAAUGCUAAUAUGAACCUCGAACCCCCUUAAAUAUUUUUCAAUUGAUUUCCUGUUUUAAUCAUUUGAAAAUCAGAUUUCUUGAUUUUUCUUAAAAAUUAAGUGGCGACUUUUAAAAACAGUCUUAAAUUAUUUUAAAAUAAAACAGUUAGUGUUACUAUUUGUUAAUCAAAUCCACAAAUAAAAUUAUCUUUAUAUUAUUAAGUUUUAUUUCAAGUAAAAGCAUAAAUAGCUAAAUAAAAAUAUUAACCUAAUUAUUUUUCAAUAAUCAUAAUAAAAUAUAAAAACUAUGACAAUAUUCCAUAGGCUACGUAGUGAUUCCUAGAAAUUUUAGGAAAAUUUUAUUUUAUGUAAUACAUAUUUUAUAAACAUAAUUUAUAUUUAGAUUGUAAUAUUUCAAACUUUAGACUGAUUUUGAGUUUAGACUCUUGUUAUUUUUAAUACUCUAUUUAUUAUUUAUUUUUAAUUAAUUUUUAUUUGGCUCACGGGUUGGCCCCCUAUCCAUAUUUCUCAAGCCCCUCAAAUUGGCAGACUUAUUCAGGCCAGGCUAAAAAAUCACCUUUUUCUUAAAUGGGCUCCAAAAAUCAUAGCCCAACCCUAUCAAAUCACGGGUUAGGCUAGGCCGGCCCAACGGGCCUAGCCCAUAUUGACGGCUCUAUAAACAACUAAUAAAACUAAUUGGAUCAUUCUUACUGCACCAUUGGUCCUAAUCCUAUACCUAUCAUACUGAUAUAGAGGCGAAUUCAGAACUUAAAAUUUAUGAAUUCUUAUAAAAAAAAAACUAAAAUUUAUGAACGAUAUAAUUGAGUUCAUAAUCAAAUUAUACUAAAUACUUAAUGAUUUUCUUAGUACAUAUAAAUAAUAUGAAUAAAAUCUAUUGAGUUCACACUAACCUCUCUAUAGUGUGGCAGGUAAAAUCAAUAAUUUUGAUCCAAAUUGUACUUUGUAUUUAUGAUAAUAAAUUUGUUUGUUAUGUGUAAAAAAAUAUUCGGAACCCAAUCCGACCAGUAAACGCCAGUAGUAGUCAUAGUAUUUGGAACAAAGAAAAGCAAGGGAAUAACAAACCAUAUCUUCUGCUCCAACUUCAUUUUCUUAUAGUAUUUUUGGAGGGAAAAAAGGGAAUACAAAUUAAAUAUUAUCAGAAUGCCAACCAAAUACUGACAUUGUGCUCUAUCUUUACUGUGGAAAAAAAUUAAAUGUAAUUUAUUUAUGCAGUUUUUUAAUCUUCCAGGGGUCCCAUUUUUCUAUAGAUUGAAUUAUCUUUAAUAUUUUAUGACAAAAUACUGUAAAGUGGUGUAUAGUGGCAUAUAUAUAUACCAUUUGUAUAUUCCUCAAAAUCAUGAUAAUACCAUUUGUUUCUAACUUUUUAAUUGUACUAAUUGAAUAGAUUAACUGUACAAUAUACUUUUGUUUAGUUCAAAAUUUUCCUCUUUGUACUUUAAGCUUUGGUGUCUAUUGUUUUCCACAUUUUAUGAGGUGUUAGGACUAGCAAAAGGCAUAAUACAUAAACAUACAUUCAAACUAGGUCUUAGUUAGAGUGAUCAUUUAGACACCUCCAAAAUUUAUGUAUCACGUCAGUAUAGGGUGUCCACGAGACACAUUAAGGAUGAGUUGGAGUGUUUAGCUGUUAGUUGAGAUGUCUAGAUGUACAUUCUCAAUUAGUUACGGUUGCGAAAUUUUAAUUGGAUGACAAAACUAGGAUCGAAGUUUCGAGUGUUUGGCAUCUGACAGAUGAAAAAAAAAAUCUGAAAUUUAAGAACAAACUUUUUCUUACAUAACGAACACAUGAAAAUAAGUAAGAAACGUACUUAUUCUCCGGAAAAACAUUUUCCAAUAAGACAUUUUAGAGGCAUUGUUAUCAUUUGGUAGAUCCAGGUCCAUGACCUAUUUCUAUGGAACACAUUUUCCAUGGUACUGAACACACUCUCAGAACUUUGCUCGUUGAUAUCCACUAAUACGGACCUCACUUGUAGGAUUUCAUUGGAUAUGUUGUCGUUGUUUGAGUUGAUAUGCCCUGCUGAAAGUCUUUGUGGGUAGGAGGGAGUAUAAGAAUGAUCCACAACUCCCGGCAACGAUGUAACAUUACCAUGUUGGUCCAAGUAUAACAAAUGGAUCCCUAUUUUCUUUACUGUGCCUCUGCCAGUUUCAUUCUCUACUGUUAUCUGUUCCCCGCCUUUGAUAUUCAGGCCUUUAAAAGGUGUAUCAUUUGAGUAAGAGAAGUAAUAUACAUAUGAUACUUCGUGACUGUCAGAUCUAUCACAAGGCCAAAUCCAUGAAAAACCUGAACGCUUUAUAUGGGCAACAGUAACAGCGAAGUGUAUAAGCUCAUGUACAUCGCAAAGGCGGCAAACAAACCAGAGAACCAUUCCUAAGAACUUGUUAUUAUGUACUGUGGGCAUAGUCAAACAGAUAGAUGUAGCUGUUACUUUAUUGCUGCACCAAUCUGGAAUCUCAUUGCUUUCGUGAUUAAUUUGUAAUGACAGCUUCAUCAGACAAAUUAAGACGCAAUUAGAUCAUUAAUUAUUAAUAUGAUACGAGAGAUAGAUCAUUAAUUAUUAAUAUGAUACUAACCUCAUACCGUUGAUGUUUUCUAGACGGAAUUGAUAGAGCAUGGGCACUAAAGAAGCCUUCAUUGAAUGGAUUCUGCAGAAGAGUACAAUUAAUCAUGCCCAUCUUCUCUAUUGAAGGGAGGUUGUCCAACCCUGUAAUCUUGACCAGUUUUUGGCAAUUCCUAAGUUCAAGAGUUGUAAGGUACUUUAAAUUUGAUAUUGACGGGAGUGUUUGAAGGUUCUCACAAUCAUUCAAAUGCAAGGAACUCAACCGUGGUAACUUGGAAAAAUCAAAGGGUAGAUUGAGGAAACUGUUGCCGCUCAAAUCUAAAUCAUGUAAGUUGGAUAAACUCCCAAUAUCCCUAGGAACAUCAGCCUCCGAGAAACCACAAUAUCGAAGGCUUAACAUCGUAAUAAAAAUUGGCAAGAAUUCUACGCAGCGGACUCUUCUUUGAGAAAACCUCCUUUUGGUCUCCAAGUAUUGACCUCCUAAUUCCAAAAUUAUAAGAUUUCCUAGCAUUUCAACAGAUCCAGGCAAUUCUUUUAUACCUGUUUCACCUGCAUUAAGAAUACUUAGGCUUUGCAUAUCUCCAAUGUCAACUGGCAGUGUUUGUAAAGAUAAGCAGUCAUUAAUGUACAAGUAUUGAAGGGAUUUUAGCUGGCAUAUGCUGCUCGGAAGAUCCGUAAUCUUUUUGCAACCAUUCAAUUUAAGAUCAGUUAGUCUGUCCAAAUUUCCUAUUGAUGGAUGAAUCUCCUUUAGACUUGAGCAAUUCUCAAGCCACAAAGUCUUGAGACUUCGUGAACCGUUGAAGUUUGGAGUUUUUCUAAGGCUCUUGCAAUCAGAGAGAUCCAGCUUUUUCAAAUUUCUACAAUACUAAAAGUAAACAAAAUAUUGUUUCAAUUAAGAUUUUCUUUCUCUUAAACAUUACACAUAAAAUUGCAGAAUUGAGUAACGGACCUGCAAAUUCAAACCAAAUUCUUGGAUAUUGCUCCCUUUCAUAUUCAGAAAUACAAGUUUCUCAGAUGGAAAAUUUGACGGUAUACAUUUUAAAGGACAUCCUUUCCAAGACAGCCAUCUGAGCUCCUUGGACAAUAGCUCAAAAUCUCCACUAAUAUGUAAGUCAUCAAUUUUAAGCACCCUAAGAUAUUUCAUUUUCUGAAAUGCUUUGGUGCUCACCUUCACACCCUUUAAUGCCUGUCGUUCUACCACCAGUAUUUCUACAUUUUCAGAACCCUGCAGUUUAGUAAAAAGAAAAGUACUAUAAGACCAUGUUUAAGUAUGAUAAAUUAAGAAAGAGAAAUGCUUUAUACAAAUUGAAGGUCAAACAAAGAGAAUAAAUUAUCUACCAAUAAAACUAAAUUCACACAUUAUAUCCAACUAAAGGAUAUUUAUUUGAUAAUUUUGUCUUUGAUAGUUUGAGUGUUUAGACUCCAGUAAAUGUUCAUUUCAAGUACAAAAUGGUUCAAACAUCGAGAGAUAAUUUACUUGCCGGAGAAGAAUUAAGCACAAAUGCAUAAAUUAUUAGCAAAUAUAUAUCAAUAUAAAUGAAAAAUGAAGAAGAAUAAGUAUUAACCAAGAUAAAGAUAAUGAAAUUUACUGACUUUAUUUCCUUGUAGAACAUCAAUGGCUUCUAGAGGGUUGAACAAUCUACUUCGUUUUCCAGGGUCUUGAGAUUCCAUGCGAACGAUUUCUCUUCCCAUUUCCUGCACUAGAUCAUGCAUCACCAAACCAGGCCGAUCCUCCCUUUGGAGCAAGUUCCUUUGGACUAAGGUUGAAAUUGCACUUUCAGAAUAAAAACCACACGCGUUUAAUGUUUUGGCAACUUCAUCCUCAUAACAACCAUGGAAGGCACAUGCGAUAUCAAGGAAAACACUCCGAGUAUUGACAUCAAGUCCAUCAAAGCUUAUCUUGAGAAUCUUUUGAAUAUCACCAUGAGGAAUUGCUUUUAGUUUUUUGAACUCGUAUCUCCAUUCUUUAACGGAUCUCCCUAGCAGAUGUGACCCCAAUGUCACAAGAGCUAAUGGUAGCCCAUAUGAAUAUUUUAUUAUGUCUUGUGCCAGUUUAACAUAUUCUUGUGGUGGAGAAAGACUGUUAAAAGCAUGGCAAUAAAAAAGUUGCUGAGCUUCAUUUUCAUUUAAAAGUUUGGCCUGGUAUAUCUCAGUUGUUGUAAGCCCAUACAACAAAUGCUCGUCUCGGGUUGUAAUAAUUAUUACACUACCAGAGCCAAACCAACUUCUUUCUCUUGUUAAGGAUUCUAAUUGGCUUCUAUGAUCCACGUCAUCAAGAACAAUUAGAACCUUCUGAGACCCAAGUCUUGCUUUGAUGAGAUUAACACCUUCAGCAACACUAUCAACUUCAAAUUCCUUAGUUUUGAGGAUUUGAUAAAGUAGUUUCUCUUGAAGCUUGACCAGACCCGAUUCUUCAGUUUUUGAUCUAAUGUCAGAAAGGAAGCAAGUACCAUCAAACCGUUGAAAUAUUCGAUUAUAGAUAGCUUUUGCCAAAGUUGUUUUUCCAAUUCCACCAACGCCACAUAUACCAACCAUGCGAACUUCAUGCUCACAUCCACUUUGCAGUAACACCUCUAUAUGUUUGAUAGGAGAAUCUAAUCCAAUUGGGUAAUGAGCAACAUCUAGAGGUGUCUGGUUAACCUCUUGCAGAACUUGUUUUAUAAUACCUUCAAUAAACUUUGAUUCAUGCCUACAGUUUUUGCAACAAUAAAUACUUAAGUAUUUUAAAAUAUUUGAUGAACAAAAUAAAAACCAAUAGCCAAAAGAUAACAAAGUUUAUAGAAUGGAGAUUAUCCCUUGUCCUAAUCUACAGUUUAAUUUGUCCUUAUCAUGUACUGUGGGCAUAGUGAAACAGAUAGAUGGAGCUGUCACUUUAUUGCUGCACCAAUCUGGAAUCUCAUUGCAUUCGACACAAAUUCGUAAAACUUGCUUCUUCAGAGUGUGAAAUGAUAGAGCCUGGGCACUAAAGAAGCCUUCAUUGAAUGGAUUCUGCAGAGAAGUACAAUUAAUCAUGUCCAUCUUCAUUAUAGAAGGGAGGUUGUCCAACCCUGUAAUCUUGACCAGUUUUUUGCAAUUCCUAAGUUCAAGAAUUUUAAGGUACUCUAAAUUUGAUAGUGACGGGAGUGUUUGAAGAUUCUCACAAUCAUUCAAACGCAGCUCUCUCAAGAAUCGAAACUUAGAAAAAUCACAGGGUAGACAAUGGAAACUGUUGCCACUCAAAUCUAAAGAUCUUAAGGAGGAUAAACUCCCAAUAUCCCUAGGAAUAUCAGCCUCCGAGAAACCACAAUAUGAAAGGCUUAGAUAUGAAAUAAAAAUUGGCAAGGAUUCUACGUGAUGGACUCUUCUUUGAGAAAAUCUCCUUUUGGCCUCUAAAUUUGGACCUCCCACUUGCAAAUUUAUAAGAUCUCUUAGCAUUUCAACAGAUCCGGGCAAUUGCUUUAUACCUGUAUCAAGUGCAAAAAGAUAUCUUAGACUCUGCAUAUCUCCAAUGUCAACUGGCAGUGUUUGUAUUCAAGGGAUUUUAGCUGGCAUAUGCUGUUUGGAAGAUCCGUAAUCUUAUUGCAACCAUACAAACGCAGAUCAGUUAGUAUGUCCAAGUUUCCUAUUGAUGGAUGGAUCUCCUUCAGACUCGAGCAAUUCCAAAGCCACAAAGUCUCGAAACUUUGUGAACCAUUGAAGUUUGGAGUACUUCUGAGGCGCUGGCAAUCAGAGAGAUUCAGCUUCUUCAAACUUGUACAAUACUAAAAGAAAACAAAUUAUAGUUUCAAUUAAAAUUUUCUUUCACUUAGUUGAAAUAUAACAGUACACAUGAAAUUGCAGAAUUGAGUAACGAACCUUCAAUUUCAAACCAAAUUCUUGGAUAUUACUCUCUUGCAUAUUCAGAACUACAAGUUUUGGACAAUAGCUCAAAAUUUCCACUGAUAUGUAACUCGCCGUCAAUUAUAAGCACCCUAAGAUUUAUCAUUUUCUGAAAUGCUUUGGUGCUCAAGUUCACACCUUUUAAUGCCCAUCGUUCUACCACCAGUACUUCUACAUUUUUGGAACCCUGUAGUUUAAUUAAAAGAAAAGUACCCCAUAAGACCCCAUGUUAAGUACGAGAAAUUAAGAGAGAAAAAUGUGUUAUACAAAUAUAAGGUCAAAGAAUUAACCUGAAUACAUUACGUAUCAAGAAAAAUGAAUUCACAAAUUAGAUGAUUAGAUCCAACUAAUUGCUCAAAAAAGCUACAAACUGCAGUUAAAGAGAAAUAACACCAAAAGAAUAAACAAAGAAAACAAUAGCUUAUAGAAACUUGAUAACGGUACAAAUAAAAGAUAGAACAUACAUAUUAGACUAUAUUUAAAAGAAUAUUUGACAUAUAAAGUUUUUGAACUAAUAAGAUAAAUGUUCCACAAACUAAUUUCCGCAAUCAGAUACAAGCAUAUAGAAAUUUAUAAUUAAACAAAAUGCUCAUUUCAAGUAUAUAGUCGCAGGCAAACAACUAGAGAUAAUUUACUAACCAAAGAAGAAGCACAAAUGAAUUGAAUUCUUGUGGUGACAGUAGAAAUUGUAGGUAAAAGAACGGAAUUAUCCAGUUGGUUAAUAAGCAAAUGUUUAUCAAAUUAAAUUGAAAAUAAAAAGUAUAACCAUGAUAAAGAUAAAGAAUUUACUGACUUUAUUUCCUUGUAGAACAUCACGGACAUCUUGAGGGUCGAACAAUCUACUCCGUUUUCCAGGGUAUCGAGAUUCCAUGCGAACAAUUUCUCUUCCCAUAUCCCGCACUAGAUCAUGCAUCCUCAAACAAAGUUCAUCCCUUUGAAGCAAGUGUCUUUUGACCAAAGUUGCAAUUGCACUUUCAGAAUAAAAACCACAUGCAUAUAAUGUUUUGGUAACUUCAUCAUUAGAAAAUCCAUGGAAGGUGCAUGAGAUAUCAAGGAAAACACUUUGAGUAUCAGAAUCAAGUCCAUCAAAGCUUAUCUUGAGGAUCUUUUGAAUAUCACAAUGAGGAAUUGCUCUUAGUUUUUCGAACUCGCAUCUCCAUUCUUCUACAGAUCUCCCUUGCAAAUGUGACCCCAAUGUCACAAGAGCUAAUGGUAGCCCACCUGAGUAUUUGAUUACAUCUUGUGCCAGCUCAACAUAUCCUUGUGGUGGAGAAAGACUGUUGAAAGCACAACGAGACAAAAGUUGCAGAGACUCAUCUGGAUAUAGUAGUUUGGCCUCAUAUCUCUCAUCUUCUCUAAGCCCACAUAGCAAAUGCUCGUCUCGGGUUGUAAUAAUUAUUACACUACCAGAGCCAAACCAACUUCUUUCUCUUGUUAAGGAUUCUAAUUGGCUACUAUGACCCACGUCAUCAAGAACAAUUAGAACCUUCUUUGACCCUAGUCUUGCUUUGAUUAGAUUGACACCUUCGGCAAUACUGCUAACUUGGACAUCCUUAAUUUUGAGAACUUGCCGGAGUAGUUUUUCUUGUAACUUGACUAGACCAAAUGCUUCAGAUUCUGAUCUAACAUCGGAAAGGAAGCAACUACCACCGAAGUGUUGAAAUAUUAAUUGGUUGUAGAUAGCUUUUGCUAGAGUUGUUUUUCCAAUCCCACCAACGCCACAUAUACCAACCAUGCGAAUGUCAUGCUCACAUCCACUUUGCAGUAAUAACUCUAUAGCUUUGACACGAGAAUCUACUCCAACUGGGUGCCAAGCAACAUCUAGAGGUGUCUGGAUGUUGACCUCUUGAGAAACUUGUUUUAUAAUACUUUCAAUAAAUUUUGAUUCAUUCCUACAUUAUUAUUUUUUUAGCGAAACCAGAAGUUAAAACAAAAAAAUAAGUAAAAACUUCGCAUUUGAUGAACAUUUACAAUAUUAGUUAAUUAUCAUUAGAUUCAAUGUUGCUACCGGCUUUAGGAACAUUUACAAAGAAUGUUGAUUGCCACUAAAAUUACAUAUUUAGCAAUAACUGUCGUUAAUUAAUAGCUGCUAAAGAUCAUUUUUGGUGUAGUGACUUGACAAGGAGAUCAAGGUUGAAGAAAACAAAUGGCCUUCGUUCUCUUCAUACAGGACAUUUUAGAAAAUGGAUUUAAUUCACACAUAUCGAUCUUUUUACCUAUUAGUACAUUCUGACUUGAGAUAGCAUGCUAAUAAUUGCUUCUAUUUUUACCAUAUUAUCAACUAGUACAUUUAUCAAAAACAGUAGUUGUAAUUAUCUAAUAAUAAGCAUAUGAUUGUGUAAAUAUACUUCUACACUCAUUAAAAGUGGACAUUUAUAAUUAUCUUGUAAAUAAGACAAGAUACAUAAUAGUGUAAGAAUUAGUGUAUAUAACUUAGAAGCCGUUUGAAUUAAUAAAUCAUACCCGUCAGCAACAUUUUGCAAAUUCCAUCCAGAUAGAUUUGCGGCUUCAGUCAAUGCAGCUUUCCACUUCUCCACCCUUUGAGCUCCAAACAAUCGUUCCUUAUGUUUUGCCAAAGCUUCACCAAAGGACCCAGUUUGCCUUCGCACUUGAGAAGGAUCAACAUCAUAGAAAAUAGGCAAAACUACCUGAUUUAACCUCUCUCUGCAAUCGAGAAUUUUAACGAGUUCAUCAAGACACCAACUAGACGAAGCAUAAUUUUUGGAGAAAACAACAAUGGCAACCCUAGAUUCUUCAAUUGCUUUCUCAAGUUUGACUGAAAUGACUUCUCCCUUUCUCAAUUCUUCAUCAUCUAUGAAGGUAUUAACUCCGACUUGACACAAUCUGAAAUAAAGAUGACUGGUGAAAUUUUUGCGCGUAUCUUCACCUCUGAAAC